AGAAUUGGGUCUCUAUCUCGAAGUGAAAAUCAUUUCAUCAGCCAGAAGCAUCCGAAGAAAAACGGUCUUCAAAAGGCAGAUGCAGAUAAAAGAGACACAAAAACAAACACACAAAUUCGCUCUCACAAAGAGUUUCAGCUUCUUCUUCUCUGUUUUUUUUUCUUUUAUUAUUGUUUGAUAAAUUCUCACCUGAAAUAGAUUGAGACGAGAGGAAUAUCAACGUCAUUGUCAUCUUCAUCCUCACAAGCCACCACCACAUCAAGAUGGCGACGAUAAGGCGGCAACUCGACUUUGGCGAUAUCCCGAGUGAGAUCAACCACUUUCUUGUCCAUCCUCUCCUUGUGCCUCGGGAACAUACUGUUGAACAGAAGACAGCUUCCACAUGAGAUGUUGUACGCGCUAAGCCCUUUGUCCUCCAGCCACUGCAACACCUCACGCAGAGUCGGGUUUCCUCUAAGAACAUUAGCUGGCCAAAUAUUAACUUGUAGUUGUAGAUGAGAAAUAUGCAUAUAUUGAAAUACUGGAAUACCAAAAUAUAUACAUCUUAUAUAAAAAAAAAAUAAAGCUAUCCGUAACACCGACGUUAAGUAUUUCAAAUAGGGUUUACUAGUUCCAUCAAAAACAAUGUUUUAGAGUUUAGCAAUCCAAACCGAUUCAUGGAAAGAAACUUAUUAAUGGACCAGUAGUAGAUAAGAUCUAUAUAGAAAAUGGAGGUAGCCAGUAAUGGGUGCUGAGAACGCCAUCAAGAGUUUUAUAAUGAUGUGCUUCUCCUGUAGCGAGAUCGAAAAAACCUAAGCCACGUCCCAUAAAAUAGAUUGUGUUAGGGUUUAGGCCGGGGCUGGAGCUAGCCGAGAUGCAGAAAGCUUCGUUGCUUGCAAGGAAAAUGCACAUAUCUCCAAUAUCUUCUGUGUAACACAUGAUACUUCCCUCCGUUGUCUCCUCCUCUCUAAACACCAUGAACCUCUUUGUUUUGUAGUCAAUUCUAUUUAACACCGACGAGUAGAAGCAAUGUGCGUACCUGCACGUAAUCGUAUGCACAGCAAUAUUUAUUUUUUUUUUUUCUGAAAAAACAUAUGAAUUCAGACUGGUAUAAUUGAACAAGCUAGAGUGUACCAUUUGACUAGGAAACGUUCACCAUCAGAAGGUGACUCCACAAGGUAUUCAGUCCUGAAACACGAAUUCAAGCCAUGUCUCUGUGCUUCACCACCUUUGGCGGAACUGGUUCAGCCAUGGAGAAGAGUGGAAGCGCAAGGUUGGCGAACGUGUUUCUGUAGUCUUCCACUUUGUGUCCUCCAUCAAGAACCUUGUAGAGCUCGAGGCAGACCAGCCCAGUACCCAUGGCAGUUGAAGUCGCAAUGGCUGGGAUGAUUCUCCCUGCAAUGAAUUUGACCUUAGAAUUCUUGAUUUUGGUUCUCAACUGAUCUAUCUUCCUUUUCCAUUCGGAAUUGAUUAAGAGAGUGAAUAAAAAGGAGAAUCGUUUCUGGUUUGUCAGAGGAUAUUGCCCAUAGCAACACAGGAAAGCGAAAGCAAGACUUUCUUUCAAAAAAAAAAAAAAAACCUACACAAACCGCCACAACCACACAAGCUGUUGGAAACCGAUAGCUAAACCGAACCAGCAAUAAUGCCUGAGGAGAUAGACUGGAACAGCAGUGGGGAACAAAUGUUUGAAGCAUACAAGACCAAAUCUCUCCUAUGUUGCAGAAGCUGAGAAUUUCUGACAAAACUGAUGCAGUCUUAUUCAGCUCCUCAUUAGUAUUUCAUUCCUUCCAUUUGUGAAAAAAGAACUAUGAAAAAGAAGGAAAAUAAUACUAAGAGUUAGAUUACUUGUCUAGUAAGUAAGAAGACUAUGAACAAAAAUGAGACGCUGUGUUAGAGUGCUUAUAGGGUUUAAAAAUCAUUCUGAUAUACUCCUAAAAAUUCCAAAUACUCUCAUUUGUUGGAAUUGUCGAAUAUACCCUUAAUGAAUUCAAUUUUAUAUUAUAUUGUUUUUGGUGUUUUCUAAAUAUUGUAAAUAAAUAAGAAAAAGAAAAAAAAAACGAGAAACAAAAAACCCGCAGCUGAGCUUCUUCUUCCCCGACACCUCCUCCAUCCAUUCCCUCUCCAUUGCAUGAAGCUGAUUCCGCUAACAAUUAUUGAAACUAAGUAUUCUUUAUUGUCAGGUAUGUUAUUAGUUGAAGAAAAUGUACACAGAUCCUUUGAAUGCAAGUUGUAUUUGGUAAUUUUUGUUUUUGGGAAGAACAACUGGAGGUUUUGAUUUUUGGAUGAAUUAUUGAAGCGUCUGUUGAUUGUUAUUGAACUUGUAUUCAUCUCCACUAUCUGGGUCGAUUAGGAUAUAAGUUUGGUUGAAUUGCAUUAUAUCGAAACAGACUGAAUUUUCUCAGGAUUUGGUUUGAUCGUUGGAUCGGUAAAUAUGAACAUCCACUUCAGAUUUGGUAUUACUGUUAAAACUAGGUAUUACUAAAAUUGAUGGAAUAACUGUAACAACUGGGUAAUACUGAGAAAACUAGAAUUACUGUAAUGGAAUAACUGGUACAACUGGGAAAUACUGUGACUGAGACUAGUAGUAGUGCCGAUUAGUAAUACCAGUUUUCCCAGUUGUACCGUUUUUCAAAAUUUCAUUAGGACUUCAGUUUGGCCGAUUAGUAAUACUAGUUUUUCCAGUUGGACGGUUUUCAAAUUUGUUCUAAAUAUGUUUUGGCCGAUUAGUAAUACCAGUUUUUUCCAUUUGUUUCGUUUUCAAAUUUGUUGUAAUUUUGUCUUGGCCGAUUAGUAAUACCAGUUUUCCCAAUUGUGCCGUUUUUUAAGAUUACUGAGAAUACUGGAAUUACUGUAAUGGAAUAACUGGUACAACUGGGUUAUACUAGUAGUAUAACUGGUACAACUAGGUAUUACUGAAUCAUUUUAUAAUUUUUUUUUUGCAGGAUUCAAUGACCAAGUGUUCCAUAAUCAUUAAUUUUACUACUGGAGGAUAUACCGAUGAUGACUACCGAUGGAAAGCAAAAGAGCAUUGCAUGUACUUGAUAACAUUCAGAGCAACAUCUAUAGAAGAGAUAGCAUAUAAAUUGUUAGUAGAAAAGAUAUGCAAGAAGAUUGGGGUAGAUGAAAACACAACGAAACUUAAAUUGAGUUUUCUUCCGGUGCUAGUGAAUGAUAGUCUUCCUGUUUAUGUGGAUUGCGAUGACGAUAUUUAUGGAUAUCUGUCCGUUGUGGAUGAUCGUGGCUGUAGAAAUGGUCUGCAGGUGGAAGUCAUAGAAAAUCCGUGGGGAUGUGGAUAUAUUUCAUUUGGUGUGAAUUAUGGAGGUGAUGGUAGUGCCAUUAUUGCACACGUUAGAAAUGAGGGAGAUAAAGCUUUACAAGAAGAGGCGACUGAGGAUAUCAUAGUUGGAAAUGAUAAUACGUCACGUGCUCUGAUAAUGCAUCAUGUGGAUAACAAUGGUGAUGACGGUGGAGAGAACAAUGGCGAUGAUGGUAGGGAGAAUAAUUCUGAUGACGAUGGGGAAAAUAGUUCUGAGGAUGAUGGAGGGAAUAGUUCUGAUGACGGGAUGGAUAACAGUUUUGAUGGUGGGGUAGAUAGGGGUGCGAUAGUUGAAAUUGAGGAGUUCCCACGUCCUUCUCAAGGAAGUCAGUCAAUAGAAGCAUGGGAAGAUGGGACAGGUCUGGAGUUAAGACAAGAGUUUGAAUCCAAUAAAUCUGUGAUAGAUUUAGUUCGGAGAGCUUCACUUAGUAAAUGUUUUGGGAUCUCACUUAAGAACUCGGAUAAGAAGCGGUGGGUUGUGAAAUGUGCUGCUGAAAAAGAAGGUUGUGCUUGGCAUAUUCGAGUAGUGAAAUGUGUAAAAUCAGGAUGUUUCAAAGUUACCAGAUAUAAUAAAAUGCAUACAUGCUCACGGGUGUCACGUAGUGGCUACGCUAGCACAAGAGGCACAAAAAGGUUGGUUGCAUCUUUGGUGAAUGAAAAGUGUGCAAGCCAGUUGUAGACCACAACACCAGCUGAAAUUAUGACUUUGUUUCAAACAGAGGUCGGUGUGUCAGUGUCUUAUGCUACUGCAUGGAGAGGGAGAAAUAUAGCUCGUAAUGAAGUGAUUGGGGAUCCAGAGGAGAGUUUCUUGUUGCUGCCUUCUUACUUAUACGUGCUGGAGCAAGCUAAUCCUGGAAGAAAAACGAAAUUGUGUUUAGACGGUGAAGAGAGGUUCAAGUACCUUUUUGUCGCACUUGGACCUUGCGUGGAAGGGUUUGAAGGAAUGAGGAAAGUUAUUAUUGUAGAAGCAACAUUUCUGAAGGCUGGCUAUAAUGGUGUUUUAGUUAUUGCAACAGCUCAAGACCCUAAUCAUCACCAUUACCCUCUUGCAUUUGGUGUUAUUGAUGGUGAAAAAGAUGCAAGUUCGAACUGGUUUUUCGAAAGGUUGAAAACUAUUUUUUCAGAUAAUGGUGAGUUGAUUUUUGUAACUGAUCGUAAUCAAAGUUUAGUUAAAGCGGUUGGCGAAGUGUACCCAAAGGCUCAACAUGACUUUUGUAUAUAUCAUAUGUCGCAAAAUGUGAAAUCUCAUGUUUAUUAUGUGAACAAAGAGGAUGCAGCUGAAAAAUUCAGAGAGUGCGCAAGGGUGUACACAGAAGCUGAGUUCCUGCAAAAGUAUGAUGAAUUUAAAAGGAGGUACCCAACCGCUGUCACUUAUCUUGAAAACCAGCCCCUAAACUCUAAGUCUUUUGUUUCUUUCCCUUGGGAGCUCCCUUCUUCUUUUCAUCAUUCGCUGACCUUUUCUUCCCUCUUUUACCUUCUGUAAAAGGGUUUUUUUUGUAUUAAGAUUUUUUACUUGUUCGUCCACUAAUCCUUCUGGUUACACGGGUUGGCCCUUCUCCGUUGAUUUCCUCGUUCUCUUCUCUAUCCCUCUCCACAUCAGCUCCUUCCACUUUCUCUUCGUUAUCCUUCUCCACAUUCUCUCCUUCUGUUUGCUUCUUCCCAGAACAACCAGCGCCAUCAUUUGCCUCCUCACCACCUCCAUGGUAAUCUGCAUCAAAGAAGUUAAGACGAUUCUCUUCGUCAUCUUGAUUUCUGUUCUUCUCUUCACCCACAAACAGCUCCAUCUUUUUGAUUCUUUUGUCAUGAUCAGCUAACUUAUUUCUCAUUUCCUUAAACCCAUAUUCCACUGUUUUUGUCAAGCCCUCUAAGCCUGCCAUCAGUUUCUCAACAUCAAUUGUAGUUGUAGGAGUCGAUGCGGUUUUAUGAGCUGAUGCGGUUUUACGAGCUGGUGUUUUAGGACCCGAUGUUUUUUUCCCUUUGUUCUUUCGGCUAUUGACAUCUUUUUUGAACAUUUCUUGAAAAAAUAUCUCACUUUUCUCCUCCAGCAAAAUUGAUUUCCAAUCAUCAACAACAUAAUCCGAUACAUCUUGGUCUAUAUCCUCAUCGUCCAUGAUGAGAGCCAGCAGUUGCUUCUCAUCAUUCGAUGGAGCCAACACACUAUAAAUAUCCUUUUAUAACGAAAAAAACCAUUCAGGUUGAUCCUAGCAAUGGAGAAUAUACUCAAUUAUUUGCUAAGAUUUGAGUUCUAACCUUUGUUGCACCAAGUUGAGAAUUUAUUUCCGAAAGUGCGAAACCUUUCAAAUCUCCUUUCUUGAACCUGCUCUUGCACAUCCUUGGACAGCUAUCCUCGGCUUCUACAACAGCUUCUCUAAAAUGUCUACCAAGGGCUGGAAUUGCCUCAUAAGCUAGUAGCUACGCAUUACACAACAUGAAUUAUUAAAAGGAACAUACAUACGACAAAUCAGACAACACAUUAUGACAUUUAUUCUUAUUUACCUCCAUAGAAAUGAUGAAACUAGGAAACACUUUGUUCGCAUCUUCAGGCACAUUCCCAUUUAAAUUCUUCACUAUAUUGUGAAUGUCCUUCAUAAUCUGAUCAAAUGCAAAUCAUCCCCACAGAAAUGUUUCACACAAAUCUAAAUCACUAGCCGCUCUCAAAAAGAAAGGCUCUACACCUGCAGCUGUAUUAUCUGUCUUCGUCUUCCCAACAAUUAUGUUGGCUAAGAAGUAAAAGACAGCAAUAUUCAUCCUACCUCUCACUUUUCUGGAUUUCAUUGACUCCAUCUUCUCAUCUACAUCCUUCAGUGUUACUUUCUUCUUCCCUUCACCAAAAUACUUUGCAACAAACUUACUACUGUCACCACCUAAACUACUGUCACCACCUAAAAUUUUGUAGUUCUUAGGGUAGCUUCAACAAUCCAGAAAUAAGACCCAACUCUCUCAAAGAAUACCGGAUGGGCACCCCAUUUACUACAAACCAGCAUUCCUUCAUUUUGCUUGAUGGCACCAUACGCAGCAUAAGCAUCCACAUCCCCUGAGAUUUAUGAUUUUCUUCCAAGUACAUGUGGAAGAAGUGCUUGAAGUGAGGGUGCGUUUUGAACCAUUUCAACUCUCUAUCAUCUAGCACAUUUUCUAACGUUUUCACAAACUUCUCAAUAUAGCAUCUUCCUGACAGCUUGAUGUUGAUAUUAAACAUACCAGGUUCAAAGCACAACUUCUCUGGUGGUAUAGCUUCGCUUCGAUAGUCUACAUCUUCUUUCGCCUCCUGUUCAUCAUCGUCUUCUGCCUCCUGUUCAUCAUCGUCUUUUGCCUCCUCAUGUUCCUCACCUUCCUCUUCCUCCUCUUGUUCCUCAUUUUCCUCCUCCUCACGUUCCUCACCUUCCUCCUCCUCUUGUUCCUUUUAUUUCUCCUCCUCUUGGUCCUUUUCUAUCUCCUCCUCGUGGUCUGAUUCUUCCCCGUCCUCUUGUUCCUUUUCUUCCUCCUCCUCUUGCUCUUUCGUAUUCUCCUCCUCUUGGUCUUUGACUUCAUCCAUCUCUUGGUCCUUUCUCCUCCUCCUCUUGNNNNNNNNNNNNNNNNNNNNNNNNNNNNNNNNNNNNNNNNNNNNNNNNNNNNNNNNNNNNNNNNNNNNNNNNNNNNNNNNNNNNNNNNNNNNNNNNNNNNNNNNNNNNNNNNNNNNNAUCUCCUCCUCUGGUCUUGACUCAUCCAUCUCUUGGUCCUUUUCUUCCUCCUCCUCUUGGUCUUUCGGAAAUUUUUUUUCCUCGGCGUUCACUACAUUAGUUGUACCAAUUUCAUUUAGUUGCUCCAGUUUUACUUAGUUACUCCAAUUUUACUUAGUUUGUCCAGUAUUACUUAAUGAACACAAUAAUCCUCCCCAUAUGGACGAAUCAUACCUCCAUAUUUGUAUCGUCAUCAUCGUUGUCGGCUUUCACUUUUUCUUGCCGACUCGUCACCAGUUUGCGUAACGCACUUAGGGUCGGUGGACCUCCUUCACCCAAACAUGUAGGUUUUGCGGAGGUUGGAGGAUUUGCGGAGGUUGUCUUCGUCAGAGCCAUCCGAUCGAGUAAUGUAGGGGAUGAUUCGCCGCCAAUCGAGUUCUGAAGGAUGACAAUUGGGGUUCGAAAUGCCCGAUUCCGAUUUGGACCGAUUUAGGGUUCUUCCUCUCUUCUCCCCUCUUCUCUCGUUUUUUUUUUAAUUUCUUCGUUUUCAAAAAGAGAAGCCGCAAAAAAAAAACAAUUACACAAAUUACUCGGAUCUGACCUAAACCCAUCGGAAAGCCUAGUACCCGAUCCAUUUACUGGUUGGAUCUGUAAUUACGAAAACUCUAUUUGGUUUUUUAGACAUUACAUUAAACUUUCAAAUUAAAAAAAAAUUAAUAUUACAGAGAAGAGUAUUAUAGAAUAAAAUUCAAAAGUGAGGAGCAUUCUGGGCAUUUGUCCACAAAAAUGAGGGAAAAAAAUCUACAUAAGGAGUGUGGAGAAAAGAUAAGAAAUUGAUAUUUGAUGAUUUUGAUGACUCUUACAUACUCCUAUUUACAGGAGCUGUUUACAACAAUGACAAAUUGAUUUAGUAUACCAAAUUUAUAAUGACAAUUAAUUAGUUUAAUACAAAAAUAUAAAAAAUUAUAGACAGAAACAAAACUUUCUUCCAUGAUACACAGGAAUGGUUUGGAGACAUCAUUGACGGGAGAAUGAACGUAAUUGGAAUGGUUUGGAGAAAUUGCUGCUUAUUGAGACGAGACAUGAAUGGUGGUCAGAGACUGUGAGUGACAGUUGGACUGUUGGAGACUGGCUUAGUUUUUGGCGUAGAUAUUUGGCAUAGACCUAAUUGGUGUGCCGAGAUGGCGUUGGAAAGACGCCAAGGUGGGAAGAUUUUGGGGAAAGUUGAGUGGUGUGAUCAUGUUGUCAUGUCUGAGAACUUUCCUUACAGAAAUCUCUAGCUUUAUGGUUUGAUGCGAGAACUCAGCAUGUGCUUGUUUUCAUUUUUUUUUUCUAAAUUUAUUUGUCCAGCUUCACCCGAUAUUCUAAAUUUUUCAUUAUACUAAAUCUCGUUUCACUGAUUUUGUUAAUGUAAAUGACAAUAGCUAAAUUGAUUUACAAACAUUAUAAAAAAAAAUCAAACCCAAAUCGACUUGAAAUCUAAAUGCACAGGCAGUACCAUGUUGUUGCAAAAGGAGUUGAACAUUCAGGAUCAAUCUAGGAAUUUGGUUUGAAUAUAAGAAAAGAAAGCUAUAGAGUGUUCACCUUAGAAUUCUACAUUUGCUUUAGAAAAAAAAUAUAAAUGGACUCUAGUUUUGAAAUUGAGUCAGAGGUCAUAUCACAUUACACCCUGAAAUAUAUAGAGACAAUUGGCGAGAAAAUACCAAUUGGAGUCAAAAUAAAGGAUCUACGAAAACAGUAAACUGGGCGAGAAUACGAAUUUGAAUAGGUGGGUGUUUACCAAAAACUCAUUCCCACAAACUUUCUCCAUGCUAUUAANNNNNNNNNNNNNNNNNNNNNNNNNNNNNNNNNNNNNNNNNNNNNNNNNNNNNNNNNNNNNNNNNNNNNNNNNNNNNNNNNNNNNNNNNNNNNNNNNNNNNNNNNNNNNNNNNNNNNNNNNNNNNNNNNNNNNNNNNNNNNNNNNNNNNNNNNNNNNNNNNNNNNNNNNNNNNNNNNNNNNNNNNNNNNNNNNNNNNNNNNNNNNGUCCCAUUUAAUGCAGUAUCUAAAAUAUAUGCUUUAUGCAUGUCGCAUGUACAUGUAUAGACUGAUGUUAAUGUUAUUAGGGUUUUUUACUGUCUAUAUAUAUAGGUAUCGUCCACAGAAGGGAGAAGUCAGCCACCAAAGAAGUAAUUCCAAAAGAUAAAGCUGUCUUCUAGUUGAAAGCGUCGAGAAAGAUUCAACUGUUUCCGGUAAAGGUAUGAAUACAGUUCUUUCGUGUCCCAUAUAUUCCUUUUGUAGUAACUUGGAAAGCAUCUACGAGUAAUAAAUGUAAUCAUUUGUCUUAAAUGCAUAAUAAAUGCUGCUGUUGUGAUUUUCUGGAGUUAUUGAUAUUGAUAUUUAAGAACUUGGAGUGUUAAUGUUGAUCUGAACAAAACUUUGUUUGCGCAGAUGGUUGGGCAGCUGGUUAUGCUAGUUCGUGGUGUGUGGGAGAAAACUGAGGUCCCUUGGAGUUUUCAGGUGGAUCAUCAAGGAGAGAGUUUCGGCAUCAUGGUUCAAGAAAACGGAAGCUUCGAUGGAAUAAUGAACAGUGUUCAGACUAGAUAUCAGGUGGAUGCGGCGACCGAGGUGGCUCUGACCUACCAGUUUCCUGACUGGAUGUUGGUGCCGAGUGGACCCCCAACACCACCGAUCGACAUCAUGAGCAACGCUGAUGUGGAGGUUUUCAUGGCCGUGAAUAUGGAAGUUGCAGAGUUGCCAAUGUUUGUUACUAUUGGUACGGAGAUUGUUAAUCUCUACAAAUUUCAGAAGAGAUCUACCUACGCAGUUGGAGGACCGUUGAGGCAGCUUAACGUUCCAACUCUUGACAUACAGUUUGGAACAUUGGAUUACAGAGGUAACAAAAGUUCGAUAGUUGGCCGGGUUUGGGAAGCAAUUUGAAAGAACUGAGUAGUGUUUUUUUUUUUGCGCAGGAAUGUUCCCGAGAGAGUUCAUACCAUGCAGCCACAAUAUAUUGCAAGAACUGUGCACUCCCGAGGAGUUGAGGAAACUGGAGGAGGACUCGGCAGUGCUUGAGGCACAGAUAGAGGCAAGAGGAACUAACAAAGUGACAGCAGCACGCAUACCCGGAGCAAUUGAGGGUCAGUCCUCAGCUGGUUCAAGCACGAAUCCGAGAGGGGAAGGUUCUCCAGUGGAGGGGGUCAUCAGGCGGACCGGUGAAGAGGACACGGAGAUGGGCCCAGGUAGUUUUGACGCCGCAUUAGCGAACUUGGCGUUAAUGACUCCAGUUAAAGGUUAGAUUGUGUUUGAGCAGUUAUGAAAAAGUAGAGAAGUCCGCAGUGAACUUUAACUAUAGCUUUGUUUGCAGGGAUAUCAGGAGUACCCGUUGGAAACGUGAGGCCAACCGCGCUUAAUUUUAGUGGGGAGAAAGGAAAAGGAAAGGACAUCGAUGAGGGUCUGGAAACUGGGUAUAAUCUGGCUCUAACUUUGGCGUGCCCAUCGUCGACGGGUAUAAAUAAUCCGAUAGAUGUGGAAAGCGAGGACGACGAGAUGGGGGGGGGAUGUGUUCGUAGGUAAGGAACAAUUAAGCUACAGAAAUAAAUAUCAUGAUAUUUUAGAUAGUAGAUGCUAAAUAUAAUCAUAACUAAUACAUUGUUGGAUGUAUAGGUGAUGGUCUAAGCAAGACAGAUGAGGAGCACGUGGGGAUGAUGUUCAAAAACCGUGAAGCUUUCAAGCUACACAUGGCCAUGUACGCAUUAAACAACAAAUUCUGGUUCACCGUGAAGAAGUCAACACCAGCAGUCACGAUUCUAGAGUGUGUGGGAAAAAGCUGCCCAUGGAGAGUGUAUGCGGUUAAGAUGAGUGGUUCAGAUUGGUAUCAGAUAAGAAGGGUGAGGGCGGACCAUUACUGGUGUAGACAAGAGAGGAAAAUUUCCAAAGACACGCUACGUCGAGCGUAAUAGGUGAUAUGAUGCGGGCUAGGUUUGCAGGGAGAGGGGCAGGGCCGAGGCCUAAUGAGGUGAGGGAAACGAUAUGGGCUGACGAUGAUGUCCCAAUUUUGUACUGGAAGGUAAACAGCUGAUUAUCCAAGUAAUUUUGUGUGUAACAUGUAACUAUUAUUGUUAGCUGGAAAAUAUUGUAAUAUAGGCUUGGCGUUCUCGUCAGGUUGCGAUGGACUACGCUAAAGGGACAAACGGUGGGUCGUACAAAUUGUUACCGGCUUAUCUACAGCAACUAGUUAUUAGUAACCCUGGUUCGAUGGUGAACCUAGAGACCGAGAUAGAAGAAGGAAUGAGUCAAUGUUUCAAGUAUCUUUUCCUCGCCCUUGGGGCGUGUGUUUAGAGGUUCAAGUACAUGCGUAGGGUGAUUGUGGUCGAUGGGAUCCAUUUAAAGGGAAACUAUGCAGGCUGUUUACUAACCGCAAGUGGCCAAGAUGGGAACUAUCAGAUUUAUCCCCUGGCCUUCGCCGUCGUUGACGGCGAGAACAAAAAGUCAUGGACCUGGUUUUUCCGAGAAUCUGUUGAAGAUAAUACCAGAUAGAGAGGACGUUGUGUUCAUAUCCGACAGGCAUAAUUCAAUUUACGCAGGGUUAACCAAGGUGUGUUAUUAAAUUAUAGCGAAGGAAAUGAAUUUGUAUAGUUUACAUGCCUUUGUGUGGCGUUAACAUUAAAAAUAACAACCUAUACAGGUUUACCCGAGGGCUCGGCAUGGGAUAUGCGUCGUCCACCUACAACGUAACGUGCAAGCCAUUUUUAAGAAGAAACACUUGGGAUAUCUGAUAUCCAAGGCAGCUCGGGCUUUCCACGUGUCUGAAUUCAACGAGCACUUGAACGAAAUAGCUAGGGCUUGUGCUGAGUAUCUUGCUGCGAUUGGAUUUGAACAGUGGACACAAGCACAUUUCACUGGUGUGCGCUACAAUCUUAUGAAAAGCAACAAUUCUGAGUCGUUGAAUGCUACACUAGCUGAGGCUUGGAGUUAUCCAAUAAUUCCCUUGUUGGAGCACAUUAGAACAACCCUCAUGAACUGGUUCAACGCAAGGAGGGAGAAAGCUAGCACUGAGGUUGGGAUUGUGACAAAGAGGGUACAAGCAAUUUUGAAUGCAAACUUCGAGGUGCGAACAGGCUAUGUCGUCAAUCGAAUCAACGAGAGUGAGUACGAGGUAACCGACAAAACAUGAAUGAGAUUCCGGGUGGACCUGUGUAAGAGAACUUGCAGCUGUUGCGAGUUUCAACUGCUCUCCAUUCCUUGUUCGCAUGCUGUAUCGGCGGGAUUACGUUCAAAGAGAUGCGUCGAACACUUGGUUGGAGAUGAGUUGACAACCGCUUUCUGGAGAAUGGCUUAUUCAGAGAGCAUCUACCCCGUUCCAGAUUAUCAAUCGCCAAACAAUGAUGGCGAUGUCAUCGCCAACUUUGCACUCAUGCCACCUGCGACAAGGCGCCCACCUGGACGUCCACGCAAACAGCGUAUAUAUUCGCGUGGUGAAUUCAGGGUAAGAAACAUUUUAUCAUGUAUUUAUAUUUGUAGAUGUAUACAUGAAUUAGUGAUUAUUGACAUGGUUAAUAAUAAAUAGAUUUACACACAUAAGUUUGCAGGACAGGUUUGUGAGGCAUCUUACGAUCUGUGGUCGUUGUGGUGUUCGAGGCCACAACCGGGCACCUGUAAAAAUCCAAUAUGAAGCUUUCAAAAAAGGGGAAGGGCACGGAUCCAAGAAAUGGAAGUUAUUUUGUUAUGAGCCGAAGGAAGGGCCAGCCGAAUUUUCAAUGUUUGUUUGUGUGUGAAAUAUAUGGAUAAGUCCCUUUAGAAGACCAAAUCGGGUGUGAUUUAGGUCUAAGUUUGUCCUUACCCCCUUCUUGUAAUAUAUUCCUUCAAGACUGUUGUGCCAUUGGCUUGCACUAUGUAAUAUAUUCAUGUUAUGAAGUAUCUUGUUAAAGUUUAUGCAGCCAAAAUUAUAAAGCUGAAUCCGCGGAAUCAAGAUAGUGUUUGCCUUAAUUUGGGGUAGUAGUUAGGUAACUAAGUUGAGGUUAAAUAAAAGUGUAACUGUAAUUCAGGGAUAGGUAGCUGUAAUCUGAAGAAGUGGGUUUCUAUAGUAAAGGGUGGACUUACGUUGGAACAUUGUAAGUGGAUUGAGUUAACGUAUAAUUUAACAUUAAACUAUCUUGUUAACAUAUAAUUUUAGAUGUAUCGGUCUUUCAAUAAGUGAAUGCCUUUACAUUAUUGUAAACCUAAAAGUGUGGAUAUAGAUGAUGAUAGGUUAAACGGAGGUAGCUAUCUUCUAAGUUAGUGUAAACAAACAAAGUUAAGGUAUAAUAUUAUAUGUAACGGACUUAUAAUUGAUUAACUCCAUAAUGUUUUAUGAAAUGCGAUGAUAAGUACUAUUCAUGUAAUUAAAGGACAAGCAAAUUAAAACGCAAAAUAAGAGUAACAUAAAUCAGAGGACAGCCCAGUAUUGCAUAAAAUGAGUAGGUGCAACAAAGACGUGCAAAUCUUAGAUCCACCGGAUGUAUGAAGAAAGUAGCAAACAUUAAGACUGUUGUUUGUACGUGUAACGAGCAAACAAAGGAAACAAAGGAAAAAGAAAAUGUUAAGAAUCAGGGCCAAACUCAUCGAAAAACAAAACAGCUAGUUUAACGGACUCGGAAGCUAGACCUCUGGGGUAAUGCUACGGCAACACUCUAGCCCGCCAGUGGCAUGGGCUUGUAGUAGCAGCAUCGUGGAAACAGCGGAAUCGGUCUUGUUCUCGUUCUGCGGAAUGCCUAAUACCCUUUCCAAGGUAUAUGGUUUCUCAUCGCGCAGUGUUUUGGUGUUUGCAGCUCGGACAAGGAAUGGGAACAUAUUGCAUAUGGGGGUGAAGUCUUUCUUCAAGGCGCUAUCAGAACGGAACAAGACAUUGCAGUCGAGGACAAAGAUAGUUCCGGUAGAGAUAUUAACGCAGACGCCGAUCCAGUGAUGCUUGUCGAAUAUAAACGGAAAGUACAUGACUUCAGGGAUGGGGCAUUGAGGGUUUUCCUGUUCGAAGUAGGACAUUAAAGAGCUUUGGAACUUGAACUUCGAACGGUCUUUAACAGCAGUCUUUUUGUAAAUUUCACAUAAUGAUUCUUGAUAAGGACAAGGAAAUUUGUGUCGAAGAACUCAAUCUUGUUGUAGUUCAGCGGGUACAUUUGGGGGCCGGAAACAUGGCGGAUGUAAUACAUGACAACAUCAACGACCUGAGAAAAACAGAUAUUCAUAGCGAUUGUGCUUACGAAAAUAAGGGGUGUGAUGUAGGUAGAUACCUUAGGAGGAAGCACUCCUGUCCUCUCGCCGAUGUCGAUAACAUCUUUGGUAUCCACGCUUGAACCCUCAUAAACCUUAACAGGGCGGCUGAGAAAUAGAGAAUUCAGAGGGGUUAGUAAGAUCUAUAGAAGUUAAUAACAUUUGUAGCAGUCUAACUCUAUAUAUAAAGGGUACAUUACCAGUCUGUGCUGAGCUUCGCUUUCAGAUCCGUGAAUCAAGCUACAUAAUUAACUUUAGGAUCACAAUGCAUCGCGAACACAAUCUUCAAUGGAUUCGUCCGAGUGAGUCCACAAUGGUAAUCCUUAUAAACAACUGACGAGGUUUUAAUGUCUCGCUACAAGAUCCAAAUCUUCUGAAGACACUCAAGGUCCAACUUCAGCUCAUCGGAGCUCCUAUGCAAGAGAAAAGUGUCGUGGCGACCCUUCAUCAUCAGAUAGUUUAUCGAAUCCAAGAUCAUGCCUUAGAUCUUGUACUACCCUCUUCUGAUGAAGCACUUUACCUAGAAGUCACUUCAGCAUCUCAAGCACCAAACUCCAUCCAGAUUCCUAGUCAAAUAUCUCGCGAAGAGCUGCUCCGCCGACUACCAGAAUCAUGGAUCACCAGCUACGAGAAGCUGCAUCAAGCGGUUCAAACACCGAUUCAAUCCUCCGAAGUCAGCUUUCAUUCACGAAAUGAUGGUACAACCGAAAUCAAGUUCGAAAAACCAAGAUCAUCGUCAUUCCGCAAACAACUGUUCACUCAAUUUGCUAUUCAAAUUGACGAAUGCGAAUUCUAUAGUCCAGCAAAAGAACAAAAUCCUAAACCAAUCUCUUUUGGACAAAACGGAUUGGUACUAUAUCCUUUCAAAGAUGAAGAUGGACAUCAAUAUUUCGAUAUCUGUUCCUGCUCAGCAUGUGAAGAAGCCAUGUACGAAUCUGAUGACGAGAUUCGCACAAGGAGAAGAAAGAAGAAGGAUCCGCUCUACAAAAGAUAUUUAGAAGGAGAUCCCACCGUCGGUCCUCUCGGUGAAGGAAACGGGCGAUAUGACUUUAUAGUCCAAUAUUCGGAAAAGAAAGAUGAAAAUCAAAUCAUGAUGAUCAACAACGAAGACUUCCCUCCUUCAAGCGACUUUACCAAGGACAACAUCGCACAUAGCCCGAAGAUACUCACUCGAGCAAUCAACUCUUCUGGACCAGAUCAACUAAGCCAAGGAGAAAAGGUCCUCAACUGGCAAACUGAGAAUGCCAUCGCUCAAAAUCAACUCCUCAAAACAAUAAAUUACAAGGUUGAUCAGCUGACGGAAAAUUACAUCAAAAGGCAAACUAGCCUUCAGAGCUCAAUAACAGAGAUCCAUGGCCGGCUUAACAAUCUUCAUCACGAAAUGAUGGCUAUGGCACAAAACAUGAUGGUCAAUACAACACAAUUCCGUCAUAAAGAAGCAGAGACAGCCAGUCUCAAAGCCCAGCUAAAAGAUCUUCAAAGAAGCCUCGAGAGUAUGAUUUACAAUCAGAAUCCUACGAGUUCUUAUUCCAAUCCUUUCGGUGGAAUGCCUAUGUACCAAGGCACCUACUCCCCAGGAUUUCUAUCCGGCUAUACAAAUCAAAGACCAAGAACACCGGCCCCCGGAUUUCUAUCAUCUGACGAAGCCUUUACGUCAAGAUAUGGCAUGACCUCAGCUAGCAAGCCAAAGGUGUCAAGAUCAAAACCAAGACGACAGAAGGAUUCCGAGUUUAUGGUCAAUCCUACCAAACGACCAACACUUACUUCUUCGUCAAGCCAUGAAUCAGUGGAAGAUUCUAAAAGAGAAGGAAAAGAAAUUGGUAUAAUUGAAUUCUUUAUGGCUAGUCUGUUAGAUACUAUGGGACAGACUUCUACUGCUCAAACAGCCACGGAGAUGCCACAAACACAACCUUUUCAACAAAUUGCAACACCAAUUGCAAAUAUCGGUCAUUAUUCGGAGACUAAUUCUAACAGUUCUGAAUCAACUUCGGAUGAAGAACUCUCCCAAACCAAUUUGCCAUAGGCGACGAAAGAGGCGAAACAUCAACUCCAAAACGAGAACCUGAUAUACUUGAAAUCUAUUCAAGCGAUGAAGAUAUGGAGUACAGGCCUCCCAGGCAGCAAGAAAUACCAACAAGACCAUUUGCCUCUAAAGUCAUGGUCUUCACGUUUGAUGACAUUCCUUUCGAAAAAUGGAAUGAUCGUCUCGAUGAAUUUCAUGCAUGGAUGAAUUCUGAAGCAAUCACGUCUCCCUUAGAGCUUGUGAUUCAGCAGUUUACGGCCCGACUAUCUGGAGCACUCAAAGAAUGGUGGAAUUCACUUGGUGAAUACAGACAGCAGCAAGUCUAUCAAACGACAAUACCGCUACUUCUCGGAGAAAUUCAUAGAGAAUUUAUCGGUACACCUACACAUUUGAAAGAACAGCUUCAAGAAGAGUUCUUUACUGCGAAAUGCUGCUCAUUGAAGAAAAGAGACCUAGCUAAGCAUUUUGAGCGACAGACGCGACGUUAUUACGCUCUUAAUGGUUUCAACAAUCCAAGCCUUAAGCAGGUGCAUCUCUCUUCGAUUGAUGACUACCUCAGUCAACAAACAAAGCUAUACAUAAGAGAUCAAAGCCAGACAGUGGAAGAUAUUUCCAUUGGCCAAAUACAGCAAUAUGUCUUCCGAACACUAGAUAAACUCUGCAAGCAAAAAGAGCUUUGGAUGGAAUUCAUGGAUAAAUCAAAGCAACUAUCCAGGAUCUGUGCAAGACCAGACCUAUCCAUCCAAUGUUCAAAAUCCAAGAAGACAUGUUCGUGUGAUGAUCGUAGCAAAUCACGGAGAUUCAGAAAAACGUCUCACAAGCGUUUCAACAAGUUCAGACGCAAGCGAUUUUUCAGAAAGAAACGAAGCUUCAAGAAAACAACGAAGUGUUUCCUAUGUCGCAAAGAAGGUCACUUCGCAAAAAACUGCCCAAACAAGUCGAAGAAAAAGAAGCAGUACUUAAUCAGCUCAAUCUCGAAGAUCGCACCAGACCUCGAUUUCGACAGCCACGAUCUAGAAUCAGUACUAUCCUAUGAUAGUGAUGAACAAGAUGCCAUAUGUGGCUACUCGGAUUAUGACUACUCAUCCGACUCCUCCUCCUCAGAAGAAGAAGUCAAUAAUGACUGCUGUUUUAAAAUCACUCGUAUGCCGCAAAAAGAAGAAAUUCAAACACCACAUCUGCCAGUUACGAUAUUUCAUCCACCACAAAAAGAGAAGCCAGUUCAUGCAAUUGCGUUCAUCGACACAGGAGCAUAUACGACGAUAAUGAACCCUAAAAUUCUCCCGACUUCUAUGUGGCUACCACAUCAACAAGAAUUUCGAGUAGCAAACUCGGGUUCAUUGACGGUCAAACUCAAGUCCAAACCGGUGACGAUCGAACUUUUCCCAGGCUGUCAGAUUACAACAGAAGUGCUUGGAUCCUCAGCACCAAGAAAAGAUUUGAUAUUAGGAUGGGAUUCCUAUCACACCUUCAAGAAAAAUUUUGAUAUAUCUAUUGAGACACGGGGAAUGAGAUGGAAGGCUUUCUACAAAGAUUUUACAACAAUCCCACGUCUAUUCACGGUCGAAGGAGUCAUAUCUCAAGAUUUCGAGAAAAUCAAUGAAGAGAUCGCAAUAGUCUCAUGUGCAGACUCUCACACAGACUUCCUUCAAAAUGUGACAAACCGUUAUGGCUGAAUUCAGAAUUCUUCGUCUCUUUACCUUUCAAGGAGAAUGUCCAUACCACUCCGACAAAAGCAAGUCACGCAGGCAUGCCACCAACAUUAUUGACACAAGCAAAUGAAGAAUGUGACCAACUAGUGAAACAAGGAGUUGUCUCAUCAACAAAUUCACUUUGGCAUGUAAAGCAUUCUAUGUGAACAACCGGACAGAACAAGCAAGAGGAAAACUCAGACUGGUAAUUGAUUACAAACCACUGAACCAAUAUCUACAAGACGUCAAGUUUCCUCUACCAAACAAGAAGGCACUCUUUCAACACCUACAAGGAGCCACCAUAUUCUCCAAGUUUGAUUUAAAAUCUGGUUUUUGGCAACUUGGUGUUCAUCCUGAUGAAAGAUACAAAACAGCUUUCUGCCUACCCAACAGACAUCUCCAAUGGAAUGUUCUACCUUUCAGAUUAAAAACAGCGCCAUCGCUAUUUCAGCAAGCGAUGCUUCGUAUAUUUAAGCCUCUUCUCCACACGGCUUUAAUAUACAUCGACGAUAUUCUGUUAUUCUCAACAAGCGAAGAAGAUCAUAUUCGGUCUCUCCGACAAUUUCAAGGCAUAGUUGAAGAAUAUGGAAUUAUGCUCUCGGCCCGAAAGAUGAUAAUAGCCCAGCCCAACAUCGACUUCCUUGGAAUGCAAAUCACAGAAGGAAAAUUCACACCGCAAGCCCAUUUAGCUACAGCACUCCUCGAUUUUCCCGACGAAAAUCUCACGCGAAGACAAGUCCAACAAUUCCUUGGGGUAAUUAAUUACAUCAGCGACUUUAUUCCGCAACUUUCGCAAAUGACUAGACCACUCCAGAAGAUGUUGAUAAAGAAUCCACCCACGUGGGCUACCAAACAAACCGAAGCAGUCAAAAGCCUAAAAAAGGAGAUACAUAAGCUACCACCUUUAAAGAUUCCUCUACAGGCCUACGAAUACUGCAGACUGACGCAAGUGACAAAUAUUGGGGAGCCAUUUUAUUCGAAGAAAUAAAUGGUAAACGUCAAAUCUGUGGAUACAAGAGCGGACGCUUUAGAGAUUCCGAGAUGCAUUAUCACUCUACAUUCAAAGAAAUCUUAGCGGUCAAGAAGGCUAUCGAGAAGUUCGAGUUUCAUCUGAUAGGACAUAAAUUUCGCAUCGAAAUGGAUAUGUCUUCUUUUCCGAAGAUGUUACAAUUCAAGCAGAAGAUGGUCCCACAUCAACAAUUAUUGCGCUGGAGCGAAUGGUUUUCGAAAUACGACUUCGAAUCCUGGGUACGCAGAACACUCUUGCUGACAUGCUCAGUAGAAACCCUCCUAAAGAAGUUGCCUCAGCUUCCUCAAGUUCGGAAAAUCAAUACUAUGACUUCGACGCAAACAUGCCUCUCGACGCUCACCAGCUCGUCGACAAGAGGACUCUGCAUGAGCAUCUUCAACACAGGAUUUUCAAAUAUCAGUCCAUCAUCCUGUAGGGAGAUGAACCUGAUCAUCAACAAAGGGGUCUUUUAGGUAGUCCGGUUCAUGGUCAGCCAUCUGGUCUUCUUGUAUGAGUCCAAGAGAGAAGGUGGGGGAUACAGAUAGGAGUAAUUCAAUCUGAACAUCAUUAAUGCAAUUGAUAAGGUGUAGUCGACAAUUAAGAUUGUGCAUCAAGAGUUCAGGUAAGUACCGCUUUAUUGUUUCCACCAAGCACGGUUGAACUGUUGAAUUCGUCGACGUGGCUUAGAUAGUUGUCCUAAGAUCCAAGAAAAUAAGUGUUAAACUUCUUUUUAUACCGUUAAUAUUAUAUUUGCAGAGUUACAGAAAAGGUUAGGUACGCUUGUAUAACACAUUGAACUAAGGGAAGUGGAGAUAGAGUUAAUACCUCGGGAACAGGUAGAGACGACACUGGUAAUGUCGACACGGUAGGCGGGGCUAGAGAAAGAGGACAAGAAUUCGGUAUGACAGUGAAAGAUCCAGAAAAGCGGGAUGGUUCCGAGGCCUAAGAAAAAAUAUGAGGUAACAAUCUUAAAUAAUAAAUUUCUCGUAAUUUUAAAAGAGUACCACUUACCUGGGCGUUUAUGGAUUGAGUGAGAUUCUGAAUGAACUCUUCAUUACUUAUUGCAAGGCUAGGAGCCUUCAAAAUAGGUUUGAAGCUGGGAGGGGGUUGUUGGAAAGUACGAGACGAGAAAGGUUGGGGAUGGACAGUGCUACCAGUAACAGUACAGAGAGGGUGGUUGUCGGGAUCUGUCAUUACAGGUGGCGGAGGGUUCGCUGUAGACGGGUGAAUGUUUGACCGCUCGGAGUCACAACGUUCCCGUGUAAAGUCCUCCAUCACAGGCGCAUCUUGAGUGCAGGGGCCAGAAUGCGAUGAAUUUGCGAGAACAGACGCCUCCAAGGACUUUAAAGCCACUGUAAUCUUCUCGCCCUGCAAGAUUAAUGCAGCUUCCAAAUCUCGCAACCUAUUAUUCAAACUCUGCAGCUCACCCUUUAAUUUGAGUGCCACCAGCUCGGCAAUAGUCUCGGGAACAAGCAGUGUAGUAAUACCCGAACCUUCGGCAGGUUUAUCCUUUUUCUUCUUGUCAUGCACUUCUUUUUCUUUUAUUGCCUUGUCGUUACGCAUACGGAGUAAGUCGGCCGAUGUCAACCCACCGUAAACAUGUCCUUCGUAAACCUAAAGCCUUCUCCUAUAAGCUUGACAUUAACUUCAACAGGCGCGUCCACUUCUUCAUCAGGCCACCGUAGGUCCAUGCCUUCGAUAGCAUAGUCUUCGUUGGUAGGAAUGAUGGAAUGAACUAAAACCUAUGAUAACAGAAAUUAUAACGAGUAUAUAAAUGUGUAGACUAUAACGUUUAUAUUACUUUGUUCUUUUUUGUUAACAGUUACGAGAAGUAUUAGCGUUGUAACAAAAUUAGUACGUGAUAUAUCCAAAAGUAAGAUAUUACGAUAGAAUUUAACUACCUUCUCUUCCUCGUCAAUGUCGCGAGCAUGUCCGGGACUAAGCGUCAUCUUUAUUUAACCGGCCGCCGGUCCGCCUUCACCAUUAACUGAGUCCUCAGGCGCCGGAUUACAUUCUUAUUCGCUUAGUUGCUCAUCACAAAAAUCAGACUCCUCCUCCCCAUCGCUAUCUGAAUCACCAGACGGCUCUUGUACCACUUCUGUCAAUGACGGGACGGCUGCCAUCAUCACUAACUGGAUCGCGUAGAAAAAACCUUUGACGGCUAUAGUCUUCUGUGAUAACUCUAACUUGUCCUUGGAUCUAAUGCUGGAAACCAACAAGUCAAACCCCACCCUUCCCCAUGGAUAUGACAGGAAAACAUCGAUGUCCCUAAUCAGCUCGACAUGCUCCGGGACAAUCUUCGUAACAUGUGAUGUCGGAACCAAUACAGCGGCAGUAACUGCGAGACAGGCACAUUUAAAUCGCUUCUCCUUAUCGGUUAUUUUCUUCCUUGCUAGCAUGUUAAUCAUGGACUCGACGGUGCACGAUUUGAGAAGGCCAAAGAGUUCGAGCCAAUAGGGUUUCUGGGUCACAAGGUUCUUUUUCUUCUUUGUCUGUGCAAACUUCCUGCACCCUAGCCCGGUUACAAUAGCGAACUCACGAAGCGAGAAUCUUAUGGGGCCUGCGAACAGGAACCAAAGCUCGUGUUUCUUCUUGACACGAAGGAGGCGAGCAAGCAUAUAGUACCCAAAACUGCCAGAGAAAGAAGGCAUCUCCAUGGUCGCUAAGAGUCUUCCCAACUGAGAUUCCCUGAGCCGCUUCACUUCGUCAUCAUCGAGGGCAUUAAUGAUAGCCUGGACUGUCUUCGAUUUUUGGUAGGUAUUAACCCUUUCACCAAUAGGUUCUUGCCCCCACUGCAAACAUCCUCUCCGGUAGUUGCAGAUUCGACAUCGGCGCAGAUUCUAUAUAGGAUUGGAGUGAGAAUCAGAAAACCCGUUUGAAAUCCAAAAUUGAAAGUAUCAUUAAACGACUUAGAUGAAUAUCUGCAAACGAUUGCCCUGCUGAUCCUAGAUCUUCUGUACAAGAAUUGGAAUUUGGUUGGGACAAAGGGAAUGAACAGACUCUAAUUUUAGGAUUUUUGUGGAUUCUCUAUCUGGGUCCAGAGAUAUUAUCCUAAACGACGUUACUGUAUAACAUACAUUAUUCUGUAUAACACCAUAUCAGUGUAUGUAACGAUGUAAUAACUAAUUGAAGUUUGAAUUUGAAAUUUAAAUUAACAAAAAUCGUUAUUCUGACAAUAGAUAUUAUCAAGAACGUGCAUGAACAGAACGCUUUAGUUAGGGGGAAUAGGGGUACUCUUGCCAUAUUGAGAAAAGCACAGUAAAUGAAUAGUUGCAUUUUCCUAUUUCCUUAAUUAUGAACAGUUCUCGGGUCAUAUAGCACAUUUGUUGAAGGUUGAGUCCUUGAUUAAAUCUAGCAAACAAGAAAGUAGCUUUAAUUAGAAGAAGAAAGGAAGAAGAUGAAGUCUCUGUCGUGGAAGAAGGAAUCAGAGAAGAAGAAGAGAGUCAACCAAGAAAUAAAAAGUCAACAUUGGAGAAAAGAAAUGGGCUUCGUGUUUUAGACUAAUGGGCCAGCAAAGCAUCAUCAGCCCAAGGAAAUAAUGGUCGAUUGUGUGUGUAGGGAAGAUUAAGUCUAAGUUAUCAUAGCUAAAGUUGGUGUAAUAGUUAAGUAGUUAAAGUCCUAAGAUGAGAGGUUAGAGUCUAAACAAGUGUAGUGUGGCUUGUGUAAGAGAGUCUAAGACUAGAGGUAUGGCAUAGAAGGAGUGGUUAAGAGUAGAGUCCAUGUAGCAUAAGUGUAUGUGUUGUGUUGUAACAAAGAACAAUUGAUCAAUAUCAAAAAUGUAGUCUUUAUAUUUGUCUUUCUCUUGUGUUCAAACAAUCAAACAGCAACAAUGAAACAGAGUGAGAGAACUAAAGCAGAAAGAGAGCGUGAGAAAAGAUAAACAAAAGUAAAGAGAAAAAGAGAGAAAGAAACAAAUCUGAAUAAGAAAGAGUGAGGAAUGUCAACAUGGUAUCAGAGCUGUAGUUAUCCUUGGAGCCUGUUCAAGAAAGAAGAAAGGGUCCAUGGAGAAAUUGCUUCUCAGCCAUGAGGGAGAAGCUGUGAUGGAGAAAAAAGAGUACAUGAAGAUUACCUCUAAGAUGGAGGAAGAAGAAGACAGAGGAGAAGCUGAAGAAACUCCAAUGCCGAAGACCUUGCAGCAGCUGAAAUGGAGAGUCCAUGAAAGUGGUUGCUGCUGGAGAUGAAGAGAAGGAGCCUGCACAAAAAAAAAAGAUGUGUAAGGCAAAGAAAAAGAAAGAAAGAGAAGCUGGAAAACCAAAGUGGUGGUGAAAGGAAUCAAACAAACCAAAUCAGGAAAAGCUGAGGUUGAUGAUUCUAGAAACCAAACAAAGCCACUAAGAUUGAAGAUUCAAGGAGCCAAACCACUAAAGCUAAGAAAGCUAAGGUGAUGACUCAAAAAAAGAAGCCAAACAGACUACAGUAAGAGAGGCUGAGGUGAUGGUUCAAGAGUCAAAAAGGUCCAAAGCUAAAGCUGAAGGGGAUGGUUCUAAGAAUCAAAAAAAAAAAAAAAAAAUUGGUGUUCAAAGAGGACACCAAGCAAGAAGGAAAAGAAGUUUACCUAAGAGAAAGGAAGCUGAAAAAGCCCAGAAUGACGUGAAGAUGGCAACAUGACGGCAUCAACAAGCAGACCAAGGAAGCUGCCAGAGUUGCUGGAAAUUCUCAACCAUCAGAGAAAUGGAGGAGACAAACCAGCAUCAAAAUCAAGCAAACCUGCAAAUGAAAGGUUUGAGAAGAAGGAUUUCAUUUCAAAGGUAUGAAGCUGAUCAAAUGUAAAGUAUUUUUGAUGAGAAGCAGAGUAUGUGCUAGAAGUUCAGAGAAUCAAAAAGUCCAAGGUUAAAGAAAGUCAAGGUGAUGGUCAAGAGAACCAAACAGACUAUGGCUAAGAAAACUGAGGUGAUGAUUCAAAGAUCUGAAAGAUACAACUUGGUGAUCAAAGAAGAAACUUACAGAAGAAGAAAGCUUGCUUACCUAAGAGUGAAAGGGAGCAGAAGAAUAGAAGAUGGCUGGAGAACUAAGCCGACGAAGACGUGACGGAAGUUCACGGUGGUAGUGACGUGAAGAAGAUUCACAGACAAGACUUGGAGGAGACAUGGAGAAGGCUUACGGGAAAAGAGAAGAACCCAAGAGUCGUGUUUCCUGCAAGAGAAGAAAAGUUGGUCAAGAAAUUGGUCAAUAACACAAUGGAGAGAUCGCAAAGAAAAUCAGCCAAAAGAUGGCAAAGAUAUUUGCAGAGAAAAAUGAAGAUGGAUCCAGAGAGAUUCAAGGAGAAGAGGGAGUAAAGCAAGCGUAAAAUUGGAGAAGGCAGUGGCUCGACUCCCCAGAAGCAACAAACCUGUUCAGGUUCGUCGAAGAGGGAGACAAUGGAAGAUGUCUCAGAUGAAGUACCAGCGGAAAGAGUGAUGUCGUCGGAGAAGAAUAAUAAGAAACUAGUUGCAAACGCAGCUUGAUCAGAAGUGAGGAAAGCUCACAAAGCAAACGAAGAUUGCGAAUAAAUCCUGUCAAGAGAGGGCUAAUAAAUUCGUAUAAAAAGAAAUUAGAUCUUGGAGAUCCAUUCAAGAGGGAGAUACGAAGCUCAAAAGGGAAGAAGAAGCAAAAUGGAGGAAAACACAAAGCAAGAGAAAGAUCGAGUAAUAAGCUUACCAGAAGCUAUACAAAUGUCUUGAAGAGCAGAGGAAUGAGCAACGAAGAACCAUGGGAGUCAAAUCCCUAGAUUUGAAUUGGGGAUUUAAUCAAAGGACUCAAGAGGGAGUGUUGAAGGUUGAGUCCUUGAUUAAAUCUAACAAACAAGAAAGUAGCUUUAAUUAGAAGAAGAAAGGAAGAAGAUGAAGUCUCUGUCGUGGAAGAAGGAAUCAGAGAAGAAGAAGAGAGUCAACCAAGAAAUAAAAAGUCAACAUUGGAGAAAAGAAAUGGGCUUCUUGUUUUAGACUAAUGGGCCAGCAAAGCAUCAUCAGCCCAAGGAAAUAAUGGUCGAUUGUGUGUGUAGGGAAGAUUAAGUCUAAGUUAUCAUAGCUAAAAUUGGUGUAAUAGUUAAGUAGUUAAAGUCCUAAGAUGAGAGGUUAGAGUCUAAACAAGUGUAGUGUGGCUUGUGUAAGAGAGUCUAAGACUAGAGGUAUGGCAUAGAAGGAGUGGUUAAGAGUAGAGUCCAAGUAGUAUAAGUGUAUGUGUUGUGUUGUAACAAAGAACAAUUGAUCAAUAUCAAAAAUGUAGUCUUUUAUGUUUGUUCUUUCUCUUGUGUUCAAACAAUCAAACAGCAACAAUGAAACAGAGUGAGAGAACUAAAGCAGAAAGAGAGCGUGAGAAAAGAUAAACAAAAGUAAAGAGAAAAAGAGAGAAAGAAACAAAUCUGAAUAAGAAAGAGUGAGGAAUGUCAACAACAUUUACUUAAAUAUGAGAAUAUGUGCUCUUUAUUGAUGAGAGAUUUUUUUUUUUUUGGGUUUAAAUUGUUGAUGAGAGUGUAGAUAGCUCUGAUUAGUGUUUUUUUAGUCAGAAUCUAUCCCUUUGUCUUAGUUUGUUUUUUGUAAAAACCGAUGAUGGUUCAUGUCCUCAUCAUCACUGAAUCCCUGAACUUAAAGGUUUGAUAAUUGUAAAGUCUUAUAACUUAACCUAUCAAUGAAAAUACAUAUGAUAAAAUCUCUCGUUAAGUUGGUUAACAGUGGAACAAGUCUUGUUUUCCUUAAUACACUACUGAGUAUUGUCUUUUUAUGCUAUAUAUGUAUCACGAUGAUGUUCUUUUCAAGUCUAGAUUUUCCAGAGUUUUUGAUACUAUCCUGAUACUGAUGUUCUGAUUAAUAAAUUGUUGUACCAAAAAGAAUAAACGAGACAAAAAUUAGAUGGAGAAUAGUAUUAUAUAGUUCCUUUCAUUGUUGCAUGUUUCUUUAUCAGAAAACGCCAUUUCACUUUAGAAUGUAAUAAAUCCCAUAUUCAUAAGCUGCAAUUAUCUUCAUUACCCCGUCUUGGCUUCUCUGUGAUUGAUUCUGUUUCUCUAUUUUGUUCCAGAUGUUUUGUUCUAUAUGUAUUUAACCAGAUAUUUAAAGUUUAAGGUUCAAUGUGGUCUUACAUGUAGGCUGGUCUGUCAAACAUUUCAAUAAUAAGGAUUAAAUAGGAAAGUCAAAUAUUUCUCACAUCCAGCGAUAGCCCUGGGCAUAAAACCCGCACCCGAAAAUUAAUCCGAAACCGACCCGAAAAUUUGGGUUCGGAUCGGGUUCGGAUCGUUAAAAACACCGAAUGGUUAUGAUGUUGGAUUACUUUGGUUCAUCGGUUCGGUUCAGAUUAACUGAUGAUAACCAAAUUAAACCGAUAUAACCCGAAAUAAAAGAAAACUUGUUUUUCAUCCAGAAUGUCUCUUCUUCUCCUUCUUUCACGACACUUUCCCAAACCUGUAACUCGAUUUAGGGCAAAAACACAAAAUUUCAAUCUGGAUUCAUCUAAUUUCAAAACCCCUUUCACUCCAAUCUCUGAGGCAUCGAGAAUUCGGUCUCAGGUAAAAACCCUUUCCCAAACUCGAUUUAGCUAUUUUUUAGUGUUCGGUAAUCGGUGUUAUGCCCAGGGCUAGAGUUGAUUUCGUUUAUAUUUCGUUUUUCUGAUUUAUAUUUUGUUUUUCAUAGCUUUAAGUUUCGAUUUUGGGUUUAAUAGCUUCGAUUUCGAUGUUAGAUGUUAAUAGCUUUGAUAUCGAUUUGUUUGCAAAAGUUAUAUGGUGAUCAAAAGUUAGUUUCGAUUUGUUUAGGAAAGGUAUAUAUCUGUGGACGUGUGGUAGUUAAACUCAUUGCUUUGCUAGUUUGUUUGAAUCGAGCUUGAACUCUAUGUAUUUGCAGAUGGAUUCAUCAUCAGAACCAACCCCUACGAGCACAGAUGCAGCAAACACUCACGGUCCUUAUGAAGAUCUUGAUGAUGAUGAGAUUGAAACACCUGCGAGUGGAGGAAAAAGAAAACAAACCGGUGAAGGCUCUGCUUCUCAGCAACCAAAGCAGAUGAAGCUUCUUGGUUUUGUUUUGUUAUAUCAUUUGUAUUGGUUUCUAAUUUUAUUUAAAGAUCGGUUUUGUCUUUUCAGAUGCAUCUUUGAUUUGCUAUGAAGUUCACACUUUUUGGAGGCUGGAGUUAUGCACUAUCUCAGUUUCUGCUUAUUCUCUUUGUCAUUUUGAUAUUUUAGUAUGAACUAAGAUGAUUUGGACUUUGAUGGUUUGGAUUUUUAUUCUUAAACUAAGUAUGAACUAAGAUGGUUUGGAGUUUGAUAUUUUAGUGUGAACUAAGAUUGUUGGAGUUUGAUCCAUUUUUGCUAUUUUUGUUAAGUUUUAUUUGUUAUAGCAAUUUCGGUUUUUGCAGAAAUUUUUUUUCGGAUUUUCGGGUUUGUCGGAUUUAACUAACCCGAGUUAUCCGAUUUCAAAUUUUAUCGGUUUAUUUCGGUUUUUAUUUGUUAAAUCCGAUCCGAUCCAAACCAAACCGAAUUUUUUGAAAUAACCGAAUGGUUUAUAAAAUUCAAAUCCGAAAAUCCGGAAUACCCGAUCGGGUAUCCGAAUGCCCAGGGCUAUCCAGCGAUCUGCUUCCGAACUUGGCCUCUCGUUCUUUUCUUUAUUAGUAAAACAGAAAAAAAUAAUUAAUUACAAAUAAAACUUCCGUUGUUCAAAAAAAAAAACAAAAUAAAACUUCCAAGAUAAAAGAGGAAACAUGAACUCCAACAGAAAAGGAAAAGGUAAAGGUAAACUCUAUAAAAAGAAAAAAAAAGGUCACGAUUUUAAAGGUUGCGUUCGUGUUCUGUAUCUCUCUAGCUCUUAUCAAACUAAAACUUGAGAUAUUUGCUCGCUUUCUCUCUUUCUUCCUCUCGCUGAUUGUUGAUUUGGGCGUACAAUUAGGGUUUUGCGCUUUCCUCGGCUAAUCUACACAUGUCUUAUAAAAUUAGGGCAAAGAAGGAGCAAUCAUCGUCGUCUCUGAUUACGUCACUUCCCGAAGACGUCAUCAUUGACAUCUUAGCGCGUGUACCUAGAGGCGACUAUCCAAUACUCUCUCUCGUUUCUAAGCACUUCCGAUCACUCGUUGCGUCCCGUGAGCUAUACACAAGACGAUCAUUGUUGGGCUGCACCGAACACUGUCUCUAUGUUGUCCUCUUUAAGGGAAAAACCAAGGAGUACAAAUGGUAUAUUCUCCGCCGGAAAGCCAACGGCAAUCGCUGCUUCGUCCUUAUUCCUUGGCUUUCCGCUAUGCGUUACCGUGGAAGCUUUGUCCAAGUGGGUCCGAGGAUAUAUAUGUUUGGUGGGGAUCAGAAGAAUAUGGGGUUAAGCAUCGACUGCAGAUCUCACACGGUACAAACCCUCCCAGGCAUGCCUGUGCCCAUGUCUGAUACAAUCUUUGGCAUCAUUGAUAGGAGAAUCUACAUAAUUGGAUAUUGCCAUAAUGAUAGAUUGAGGAAGGUGAUGGUGGUGUUCAAUACAGAAACACAGAUGUGGGAGCCUGAGGUGAUAAAGUUAGACAAUGAGCUAUGGAACACGUGGUUGUAUGGUUUUGCGGUGAUGGCUGAUAAGAUUUACAUGAGGGAUUAUCGUUACAGCUUUGUUUACGAGCCAAAGAAGAAUAAAUGGGAAACAGACGAGGUGCUGAAUUCUAAGGAGUGGAAGUAUGCGUGUGUAGUUGAUGACUUACUGUACUACCACGAUCGGUACGAGAACGAGAUAAGAGCUUACGAUCCAAAGCAAAAGUGUUGGAGUGUGGUGAAAGGUUUGGAAGAAUCUUUGCCUGAUACGACAUAUUCAUGGUCUUCAUACACUGUGAGUUACGGUGGGAAAAUAUCUUUGUUUUUCAAUAAAAUUAAAGAAAAAACAUAUGAGAUUUGGUGUGCCGAGAUUUCCCUGGAAAGACAUCAAGGAGGAGAGAUUUGAGGUAAAGUUGAGUGGUGUGAUCAAGUUUUGACUGAUGGGAAUUUUAGUUCUGCAAAUCCUCUAGCUGUAAUGAUUUGAUUUAAGGAACUCUCUUCUCCUUAAUAUAACUUGUGUUUUGUUUUUUCAUUAUCCUAAAAUCUCUUUUUGCUGAUUACGUUUUAUGUAAAUGAAAAUAGAUGAUUUAAUUUGAGGAAAAACUAGUUUGUUUAUUUUGAACGAAAAAGUAUACCAUCAACUCUACAGAAUUCUUGAUCUGGUUAUCUGUUUCAGUUUGUUUGAUCAUCAACUCUGCCUCUGUUUUUUUUAUCCAUCUCUCCAAAAGUAAAAUUGGUAGGAAGAAUGCAGAAAGUGCUAGCAGUGUUUGAUUGAGUUAAUUCCAAUCGGUGAUUGGUCUUAUUGCAUUGAUGAGAAUAUAUGCUGAUAAAUCAGAUUCCUAAUACACCUAUGUAGAGAAUAUAUGCAUUCUUAUUUUAAUAAGUUUAUGUAGAAGAAUAUAUGCUGAUAUUUCUAUGCAGUUCUGAAGUCGAUGAACAGAAGAAGCUUAACCAUGUUUCUAACAAAUAUUUAUUCAUUCAAUGCGUCUUGUAGUUAAUUUACAUGAGGGAUUAUGAUUACAGCUUUGUUUACGACCCAAAGAAGAGCAAAUGGGAAACGGACAAGAUGUUGAAUUCUAAGGAGUGGAAGUAUGCGUGUGUAGUUGAUGACGUAUUGUACUACCACGAUCGGUACGAGAACGAGAUAAGAGCUUACGAUCCAAAGCAAAAGUGUUGGAGUGUGGUGAAAGGUUUGGAAGAGUCUGCCUGAUAUGACAUAUUCAUGGUCUUCAUACACUGUGAGUUACGGUGGGAAAAUAUCUUUGUUUCUCAAUAAAGUUAAAGAAAAAACAUAUGAGAUUUGGUGUGCGGAAAUUACGCUGGAAAGACAUCAAGGAGGAGAGAUUUGGGGUAAAGUUGAGUGGUGUGAUCAAGUUUUGACUGAUGAGAAUUUUAGUUCUGCGAAUCCUCUAGCUGUAAUGGUUUGAUUUAAGGAACUCUCUUCUCCUUAAUUUGAUCUAUAUGAUCUAUAUGAGUCUCUUCCAAAAUUUCAUUCUACAUUUCAUAAUUCUUAUUGCAAAAGUUCACGAUAUUUUUUUUUGUUUGUCAUUCAUUUUAAUUUCUAGGCUGAGCUCAAAAUUUCUCGAAAAAAUUGUUGAAACAUUAUGGAGGCAGAAGCUACAACUCUUCUUUGGAUUAUGACAUGUUUGGAUAAUCUUAGCUAUGAAGAGGUAAUUUUCGAGAGUGAAUUCAAAGAUAUUGGUGAAAGCGUUAGCUGAACCUUGAGAAUGGUCAAGGUUUAUAGUCUAUACCAGAGAAAUCAACAAGACAAGAAAAAGAUUAAUUCGAUUAACCAUCACUUUCCAAGGAAGAUAAGCCAACCAGUGUGUUGAUCUAACAGCCAAUAAAACCUCUUCAUAUGAAAUAUUCUUUGGUUGAGAAGGAGAAACGAAUUUAUAUGAAAUAUGUUUGAGCUUGAAAAAACAAGAAAUAUAUGGCUUUAUGUUAAAAUGAUGAUAACUCACCUAAAUGAACAACAACAAAAAAAAAUGGAUGACAACUCCUCGAUUACUGGUUUCCAUUCUAUACUAUUACAUUUCAGUUAUAUUCUCAUUUUCAGUUAACUUUUCCAUUAUAUUAUAACAUGUUAACGUCAUAAAGAAAUUAUAACAUGAUAUAUAGUGAAAUACAAACGAUAGAACUAUUAAAGUGGCAUAAGGGCAUCUCCAAAAGUAACCUUAAAUCUUCAAAUAUGAGGUUUUGUUCACUCCAAAAACAACCUUAAAACCUCAAAAUUUGAGGUUUUGAACAGUGAAACCUUCACUGUUCAAAACCUCAAAUUUGAAGUUUGCAGUUUUUAUUUACAUUUUAGUCCUUACAAUUAUAUAUUUCAUAAAUAAUUACUUUAUUUUUUAUGUUAUCAUUUUAAUCCAAACAAUUCUGUUUAUGUAAAUUUAUCUUAUAAUGUAAUUUUUUAUUUUAUUAUAAAGUUUAUAAUGUAAUUUUAGUAAAUGAUACUUUUAAUAUAUUUUUUGUUAUUUAUAAAGUUAUAUAAUUUUUAUUAAUAAUAAUUAAAAGUAAGGACUAUAAUGCAAUAUUUUAAAUUUUGUGAUAGAAGAUUUGAGGUUUUGCUUUUGGAGACAAACACCAUCAAACCUUAAAUUUGAAAUUUGGCCAACCUCAAAUUUGAAGUCCUUUUUGGAGAUGCCCUAAUAAGAUGAUGCAAUAAUCUGAUGCGAUACUAAAGCAAAUAGAAAUUUGUCACUGGUCAUACUUUUUACCAUAAUAAUAAAUAGAUUAUGCACAAAUUGUGCUAGGGUAUGCCUAGAUAUUCUAAGCAAGUCGGUCAUAAAUACAAAUACGUUCUGAAAAAGUAUCAAAGAGAUAUCUAGCAAGCUCCUCCACCACCACCGCCACAACCUCCUCCUCCUACUAUUAACCCCAGAAGCAGCAACAUGUUUGCAGCCAAAUGAAAUUUCUGGAUUAUACCCACAACAAAACAUCCAAAUUUUGGUAUGCGUUCACAAGCAUCCAGCAAUGAAAAUGCAUGGAACCUCAACUUUAACAGGAUGCAGAGAUAUGGGUAUAAUCAAGAAUUCUCACUUGACUGCAAACAUGCUGCUGCUUCUGGGUUUAAUAGUAGCAGAAACAAGCUCGCCAUCUGUACCAUGAUAUUGAGGUAAGGGUGAUUAGAGAACAGUGUUAGCUCUAAGGUUUAUGUCUAUGAUAGUUUAUAUAAGAUUUCAGAUUGCUAACCUGAUGUGGGGAAGUCUGGUUUUGGAGUGUAUAAGUUUAAAGAUUAAGGUUUCUACAUCACUUCAUAUUUAUACAGACAAUAGAUGAUUCUAGAGCUAAGACAGCUGGACUUGACAGCUCAUUACAGAAGGGAUUGAGGAACAGGUUCUUGGUACUCCAACUCGAGAAGAAAUCCGAUGCAUGACAGGAUUUUUUAAUUUGGAAUUGUAUUCCAGGUAACUUUUGUGGUUGUCACUGCUAGCUGUUCUAGGCAAUAUCUUUUUCUUCCAUUUCUGAUUAAUUUAUGAACUUACCAUUCUAGGCGAAGUGUUUGGAAACUGGAGAGUCAGUAGCCAUUAAGAAGAUUUUGCAAGAUCGGCGCUACAUAAAUCGUGAAUUGCAAUUAAUGCGACUAAUGGACCACCCUAAUGUGGUUUAUUUGAAGCAUUGUUUCUUCUCUACAACAAGUAGAGAUGAGCUCUUCCUCAACCUUGUUAUGGAGUGUACCCGAGACUUUGUUCCGGGUUUUGAAGCACUAUACUAAUUCAAACCAGAGGAUGCUUAUUUUCUAUGUCAAACUUUACACAUGUCAAGUAUGCAUUGUUAUCUGCCACAAAUAUUCUUGCUUUUUUCUUAGUGAUUCUGAAACGGGUUAGCAAAUAUGUUGUGCAGAUCUUCAGAGGCUUGGCCUAUAUCCAUACUGCUCCUGGUGUCUGCCACAGAGAUGUGAAACCACAGAACCUUUUGGUAAGUUGAUCUAUUGUGUUUUGUUUUUUCAUUAUCUUAAAAUCUCUUUUUGCUGAUAACGGUUUAUGUAAAUGAAAAUAGAUGAUUUAAUUUGAGGAAAAACUAGUUUGUUUAUUUUGAACGAAAAAGUAUACCAUCAACUCUACAGAAUUCUCGAUCUGGUUAUCUGUUUCAGUUUGUUGGACCAUCAACUCUCUGUGACUGAUUCUCGCUGCCUCUGUUUUUUGAUCAAUCUCCUCCAAAAAGUAAAAUUGGUAGGAAGAAUGCAGAAAGUGCUAGCAGUAAUUGAUUGAGUUAAUUCCAAUCGGUGAUUGGUCUUAUUGCAUUGAUGAGAAUAUAUGCUGAUAAAUCAGAUUCCUAAUAUACCUAUGUAUAUAUGCAUUCUUAUUCUAAUAAGUUUAUGUAGAAGAAUAUAUUCUGAUAUUUCUAUGCAGUUCUGAAGUCGAUGAACAGAAGAAGCUUGAAUAUGUUUCUAACAAAUAUUUAUUCAUUCAAUGCGUCUUGUAGUUGUUUUUUUUGUUCUCAAAUGCUAUUCAGGGAAGACUAUGGAUAUAUAAACACAUUUUCUUGUAAUUCAAGUUUAUAGGUGACGUGCUCUUCAUCAAAAUCACAUUUUAACAGUUCAGGUUUCUACUCUUCGUAAAUCCAAAUCAAAUUACAUUGGUUUGUCAAACUCAACAAAGGGAUAUACCGAGCCCUGCAUGCACGUAUCAAAAGAGAAUAGCAAUAUCAGAGUUGGUGAUUUUGAGAUUAAAAAGUACAGUCAACUUCACAAAAGAACAGCUCCGUCACUGUCUCUAGGGUGAUUAAAAAAGACAACUUCCGUUCAUUUGGUCCCACCAAGCACAAGUUUUUGAUCCGAGUCUCAAUGCUUCUUUCAUCGGCCACUAUACGUUUACUCAGUUUCGAAGAAACCCUCUGUUUUAACGACUCAUUCACUGAGAAAAUUUCAGAGCCUUGGCGUACAAAUCUCCAUUCAGAAAAUACUGUACCAGUUCGCAUUACUUUUGAUAGGAGAUUGUCCGAAUGUUUGAUGAUUCUCUAUGCUUGUUGUGCAAGAAACGCCUGAAAAACCUAAUUGAAAUUUGAAAUCUGAAACCUCGUUUGUUUUUUAGAUAAACCAUGCAUUUCCAUCCAAUCCAAGAUAUUCCUUUCUUAUAGUCUGUCUUUUUUUUUGUGUGAGUAGAAUUUUUCAAGAAGUUCCAAAUAUUUUCUAUGUACGAGAAACUUUAUCCACAUGCUGUUUAUUAGGUUUGGUUCUUUCACUAGAGAUCCAAAAGUGGUAAGAAAUUUUACCUUUUUUGUUUCCAAGUUUUCAUUAUUUAAUGAAUUAAUAAAACAGAGAAAAGAAUUAAAAAAUAAAAAAAAAUUUACAAAAGAUGAGAGGAAACCGAUAAGAAAAGGAAAAAGAAAAAGCCACAAAAGGGUUGUCGUCUUAUUUCUCUCGAUCGAACACCAAACCAAGCUUUUUCUUCGUUCUUCUUUUAGACGGACUUGUCGUGCCUUGGCAGCUUCUUGAAUUAAACUGGUAUGUUCUAAAUUUAAAAUAAUCUUAUUUAAUAGUAUAUUAGUGAUUGCUCUCUUUCUCGGUGAAUGUAGAUUUGAGCCUACAGUUAGGGUUUUGCGCUUCCCUCGCCUAAAUCUACACAUGUCUUCCAAAGUUAAAGCAGAGGAGGAGAAAACGUCGAAACCAGAAUCUCUGAUUACUUUACUUCCCGAAGAAAUCAUCAUUGACAUCUUAGCCCGUGUACCGAGUUGCCACUAUCAAACACUUUCUCAAGUUUCAAAGCACUUCAGAUCACUCCUUGCAUCCGAUGAGCUAUACGCUACACGAUCCUUGUUGGGCUGCACUAAACGCUGUCGUCUCUAUGUUCUCCUCUAUAACAGGGAAAGGCGUGAUGACGCUUGGUCCUUAUCCCUUCGCUUCCCGCUAUGCGUUACCGUGGAAGCUUUGUCGCAGUGAGUCCAAGGAUAUAUAUGUUUGGUGGGGACCAGAACAAUAUGGCGUUAAGUAUCGACUGCAGAUCUCACACGGUGCAACGCCUCCCCGACAUGCCUGUGCCAAUGUCUGGUACGGUCGCUGACGUUAUCGAUGGUAGAAUCUACAUAAUUGGAGAUGGCGGUAAUUAUGUCUUGGAGAAGGUGAUGGUGGUGUUCGAUACAAAAUCACAAAAGUGGGAGUCUAGGGUUAUAAAGCCAGGCGUUGAGCUAGGUGACACGUGGUCGUAUGGUUGUGUGGUGAUGGCCGAUAAGCUGUACACGAGGGAUGAUCAUAAUAGCUUUGUUUACGAGCCAAAGGAAUGUAAAUGGGAAACAGACGAGAUGCUGAAUUUUCAGAAGUGGAGGGAUGCAUGUGUUGUUGAUGACGUAUUGUACUCCCUAAAUCCGGAUGAGAACUACAAGUUAAGAGCGUAUGAUCCAGCCCAAAAGUGUUGGAGAGUGGUGAAAGGUUUGGAAAAGUUGUUGUCUAAGUUUUUAGGCUGGCCAUACACUGUGAGUUACGGUGGGAAACUGGCUUUAUUUUUCCAAGUUGGAGGAAGAACAACUGAGAUUUGUGUGCGGAGAUUUCGCUGGAAACACAUCAAGGAGGAGAGAUUUGGGGUAAAAUUGAGUGGUUUGAUCAUGGUAUCUUUUAUGAGAACUUUUACUUUAGGAAAUCUCUAGCUGUUAUGGUUUGAUAUGCAGGAACUCUUCUUCAUAUAACUUGUGUUUUGUUUUUUUUUUUUUCAUUAUCGUAAUUCUCUUAAAGUUUUUUUUCUGUUGCUGAUUUCGUUUAUAUAAAUGGGAAUAGCUGAUUUAAGGAUAAAUUAAUAGUUUAUUUUGAACAAAAAUGGUUAAGAAUGCUAUAGACUUGACCCUAGAAUUCUUUAUUUGGUUGUUUGAGUUUGUUCUAUGUGAAUAAAAAUAGAAUCGUUUCUUAUUUGUCUGAGGACAUUACCGAUGAUAACACAGAAAGCAAAAACAGAACUUUCUGAUCCGUCAAAUAAAAAGGAACUACACUAACCUGUCCAUGUGAGACAAAGGGUCCAUAAGUGGCAACGAAAACAGCCACAACCACCGUACCAAUAGUUACAAGCUGUUGAAACAGGUAGCUUGUGGGGAGAUAGACCGGAACAGCCGCCGGGAACAAACGUUUCAAGCAUAGAAGAAACCCACCUAACAGAUCAACUCUAUAAAUAGUUUAUACACUUAUUAAAAAAACAAUAAAACUAAUAUUUUAUUAUUAAAAUAUGGUUUUUUUUACUUUUUCCUACAAAAUUAUUCACUAAACUCUCAUAUCUAACAAAGUUAACUCAUUCAAUCGUCUCCUAACUCAUUAACUAAUAUAUUUUUAGAGAAAAGCCGAUAACAUUACCAAAAAAAUCUACAAAUAUCAUUAUCUUAUUUAAAAAACCUACAGUUUUGUUUACUUAUAUAUUUCUUAUAAAAAUAUUUUAACCAAAUUAUGUCUUUAAAGUUGGAUGCCUAAAGCCGUCGCCUAUAUCACCUAUGCUCUAGGUCGGCCUAUGUUUCAGGUUGGCAAACAUAUGUAACAUACAUAAAUUAGGAUGUUAGAGCAUGUUUAUUGGGCAUUUCUUAGUGGAUUUUUAAGAUUUUUUAGCCCAAAAAAAAAUCAAAAAUAGCAUUAAUCAACAAAAACGUUUCUUAUUUGAUAUACGAGAAAAAUCUCUUAGUGAGUACGUGGCGGGCCCUAAUUGGGUUGCUUUUAGACAACCCAAUUUUUUUUUUCCCCUUUUUCUUUUCAUCUCUUUUUCCCAAUUUUUUUUCCUCUUUCUCUGAUUCUCUAAUGUACCUCUACAUUAAUCAAUAUUUCUUAAUAAGUCUCUUAACUAAAUAAUACUACUUAAAUAAUACUUAAAAGAUUUAUGUGGGUCUCUCUAAUAAACAUGGUCUUACUAUUUCAUUGGACUGCCACUUGGACUUGCCAUGGGCUGCAUUUUCAAGUCUGGUAUUAAGGUUGUCCAAUCUCCUUUGUCGAUUUGCUAUCAGUAGUUAAAAUUUAAUCUUUUCUCUCUGUAUGCAUGUCUGUUGUGAACCUUGCGAUAAUAUGUUAACAAGGCAUUUGGGCUGGUGGAUAUUUGGAGAAACUGCAAUUCAGGCAUUGAUAUUGAUUUUUAUUACAAUGAAAUGUCUGGGAGAAAGAGGUAACUCGAUUUUUUUUUUUGAGAAAUUACCCCAAUUGACUCUAAUUUUAGCAAAUAUUACUAGAAUGACUCCUCCUUUCAAAGUUUACUAGAUUGACUCUAAUCUUUCAUUAAAAGUACCACUAAACCAUAAUUAGUAUUCUUAAUCACAAAAUUGCCAUUUUAAAUUAAUUUAGCAAGAGCAAAAUAACUUAAUUACACAAUCAUAAUUUAAAAUAUUUUUUCAAAAAAUCGAACAUAAUAUCGGAGGGGAAAGGAUUCAGUUUCCUAAAUCUUCCUCACUAUCCUCAUCAUUUCCCCGAAAAUCUCUCUUCUUGAUUGCAUUCUUCUAAAAAACCUCUCGUAAAAAAAAAACUUGUGACCUAGCUGCUGAAUCAAACAAAGCAAUUUCCGACUUCUGAAGACUUAUUCUGGUGUCGUUUUCUCCGUCGGAUAAUCUGUUUGAAGCUUUCGCGAGUAGAAGGGGAAGAGUACUAACCGGCGAACUCUACAAAGCAAUUUCCAACCAUCUUUCUCCUUCACGGCCGCCGUCAGUUCUAUUCCGGUACUUGAAACACCAUUUUAAUCCGAUUAAUUUUGUUUCUGUGUUCCUGUGUUUUAUUUUUUGUUUCUGAAUUUCGGCGCCAUAGUUGAGUUGCUGAGUUAUUUUUUCUUCUGGAUGAGGAUUAUUUCUUCUUAUGCAUGUCAAAUUUGUCGGCUUUUGUAUUUAGUAGCAGCAGAUUUUUAGAUCUGUUGUCCACUUGAUGAUAAAGUUGUGCCAAAUGCAUGAUAAACUUGUUCCCAAUAAACAAUAGACUUAGUAAUAGUUUAUGGCAAAGUUGAUUCCCACUUGUUCCCACUCGAUGAACUGUUGAUAGAUUUGGCAUGUUAAUGAUGAUGGAUUCCCGAUUAUGUUUUCUUAUGUAUGUCAAAUUUAUUGGUUAGCAGAUUUGGUAGAUCUAUUGUCCACUUGGUGAUAAAGUUGUUACAUGUAUAUGAUAAAAUUUUCAAAAGUGAGGACAGACUUAGUAACACUUUAUGGCAAAGAUGAUUUUGAAUUCAUAUAGACUUUUUAACAACUGUUGACAGACUUGUCAUGAUGAUGAUGAUAGAGAAGUCGAUUUAAUGAUGAUACAUUUGUUAGUAGUACGAUGAUAGCCUUUUAGAAUGUUAGAUUUAGUUUUGGUGGUGGUAAAGUUGUUUGGUAAAUUUGCUAUGGUGUUCUUCUAGUUUGAUUGAUGACAAAGUUUCAAAUCAACUAAUGGCAGAUUUUUCAGGUAUGGCCAAUUCAAGUGAGAAAAAAAACUAUCCUCCACGAGCAUAUGAAGAGGGACAAGCACCAAUCCAGAAGAAGAGUAUGAAUCACAAUUUUCACUUCGUCAACUUCAGUCAGAUCAGAGAUUCAGUUGGGCUGGAUGUUUGGAACGACAUGAGAGAAUCAGUGAUUGGGGUUAUCAUCAAGCUUUACGAAGCUGAUUAUCAGUUAUCUACGAAGAGGAAUCAUGAGAUGUGGUGUUUGGUUGGAAAUAAACUAAUUCGGUUUUCCUUGUAUGAGUAUGGCGCUAUAACUGGCAUGAGCAUAGAUCCAUUUGAUGCUGAAGACACUUGGGAUAUUGACCACAAGGAGUUCUGGGGCGAGAUGGGUGUAUCUACAGCAGAAGGACCUUGUUUGAAAGACUUGUUGUCGGUUUAUGGUGUAACAAUUGAAUUUAGAGAAGGGAAUUUAUUCUAGUCAAUUAUGAGUUGAUUCAAUACCACCCACAUGAUCUUUGUACAACAUUGCAAGAAUGUCUGGUGUUGCCUUUCGAGCACGAGAUGACCGAUCAGUUACUGAACACGUGUGUUCUGAAACGUAUACUCGAACAUAAAAUGCAGGAGAAUCUCCGACAGGUGAUGCUCGUACUCUCCAGUCACACCCUUCAAUCCAACAUUUAACCACUAGUAGGACUGGUGUCGACUUAUCGACAACAAAAUCAAAUUUAUUCAGGACUGAUAAAAUCUUUAAUCUUGUCUCCAAUUCAGAUUUGGAUUCAUAUCUUUGUCCGACGGCUAGGUUGAGGGAGUUGAAUUCAAGCUGUACAUGUGGUUGAAGCUUCGCCUGCUCCAUUGCUGCAGCGGUUGAGCCCCUUUUUUUUGGAGGUAAAGUUGGUUUCUCCUGCUCUUCUUCAAUACAUUUUCCGUAAACGCUAAAGUCUUCGUCUUCAGAAGUCGCUCCAUCUGAAUCAUCACAACAAUCAAACCUAAACUCCUCAUCUUCGUCCAGAUUCUCAUUGUUACCAAUGGAAACCUGAACCUUGUCGUCUACAUUUGAAUUCUCUUGUGGUAAAUUUUCGAGACUGUCUGCUUUAAUAUCAUUAUCUGCGACUUUGUCGAUAAUUUCAACACACAUCUGAACGGUAUCUGUUCUGUGAUGUCCUAAGAAACCCUGAAACUGUCUACAAUUUUCGACAAACACAGGUGGUGUAUGCAACGGCAGUUUACUCAAAAUCCUCUUCGGAAACAUGUAACUGAGCUUCACGUCGUGAGUUUUCCGAUCUAAACCGUAAUCCUCAAACACCAUUUGAAGAAAGUCGACAUACCUUGUUGUUUUAGAAGCACCCAGAAUUUUGCAGCCUCUAGAAUUGUCAACCACGAAUAACCACCUGGAAUUUUCAAAACGCCAGCUACCACAUACAAUAAUUACUUGCUCCAUCGAUGAAAAUUCAAAGCCAAUACAGAUAACUUUUCUUUCCUGAAAUCUAAUUACUCAUCUACAACUAUCGAAGGUCGAGAAAGAUACCUGCAACCCUAAAGCGUAGUGGUAUUAUUGUAAUUUCAUUUUGUAAUUCAAAUCUGCUGCAACACGAGAAUUAAAAUUGGCAUAACAACUUUACCACUAAUGCACAGCAUAAAACUACCAUAACUAUAUAAUAAGUCUGUUAAUAUUUCUUUGCCACCACUACACGAGAGAAGUCUGCGGUGUAUAAGUUUGUUAUCAAUAAAAAGUUGUUCUAGUAAGAAAAUAUGUUUGCUAUCAAGACAAUUGUGUAAGUCUGUUAUCAAACAAUGAAAAAAAAUAACUUUACCAUAACUAUAAAUAAAUUCUGCCACAACGUAAGAGUUACUCUAGUAAUUAACUAUGUUAACAAAAUAAAUCUAGUAAAGAUAGACUUAUUCGAAUUCCUAAAAUUUCUGUCGUCAUUGAUAAAACUUUAUCACCAUUGCAACACAUAAGUCUAUGAAAAAACCCUAAAGUUUGUGGUAGAGUUAUUAUAACGGCUAUGUAAAUCUAUCAAAUCUUUAAAAAAUUGUCGUCACUAAUGACAAAUUUUAACAAAAUGUCUGUCAUUCAAGGGUUAGUCUGCCAAACAAGAAGAACAAUGCCAAGACGUUAGAUAGAUUUUUUAAAUAUGUCUGCGAAGAAUUAAUAAGUCUGGCAAUCUCAAUAAUUCUAUUACCUCAUAACACAGAUUUUUGUAUUUAAGUCUGUGUUAAUUUAAUAAGUCUUCCAUCCAUUAAAUUUUUUUCUAAAAUCUGAUAACUUUGCCGCAACACAAACGAUAGAUUUGUAAGAACAGACGUUUUCAUAUUUGUCUGCCGCGGUGGCAAAAUUGUAAUUAAGUAGACGAUUUUGUUGAUAUGGAAAUUAAUUACUAAUAACAAUCUUGUAAUAUUGUUUUCGUUAUAACAGAGUUUUUAGGGCAUUUUAGGUACUAAAUUUACUGCACUAACCUAUAUCUUUCGUAGGUUUAUCUAGUAAUUAUAAUUAAAAUUAAGAUUAUUUUAGUCAAUUUCCCUUUUUUUUUUUUUGCUUCUGUUUUAAAUUUGGAGAAUUCUUCAAGAAAUCCUAAAUAUUUGUCACAUCCAACGCUCUCCGUCAUUUUGAGAUAUGCAUGCUUCCGAAUUUGCCUGUUUUUAUUUUCAUUAGUAAAACAGAGAAAUUAAUUACAGAAAAUAUUUUUACUAUAGAUAAAAGGAAAAGGAACUCGAUAAGAAAAAAAAAAGGAAAAAGGUAAAGUCUAUUUAAAACAGAAGAAAAACAAAAACAAAAGGUCGCGUUCUCGUUCUAUAUUAUCUCCCAAUCUCGAAAUUUUUCUCGUCACCAAACCAAACUUCUUCUCUAAUCUUCUCUUAGACCGGUCGUGCCUUGGCAUCAUCCUUGAAUUACUCUUGAGUUACUCUUGCAUGCAUAUUCUAAAUUCGGAGGAAUCUUAUCGGAAUGAAUGAUUCGCUCUCUGUCUCGCUCAUAGAUCAUUAAUUUGAGCCUAUUAUUAGGGUUUUGCGCUUUCCUCACCAAAAUCUACACAUGUCUUAUAAAAUUACUGCAAAGAAGACGCCAUCGUUGUCCUUGAUUACGUCACUUCCCGAAGACGUCAUCAUUGACAUCUUAGCGCGUGUACCAAGAUGCGACUAUCCAAAAAUCUCCCUCGUUUCAAAGCACUUUCAAUCACUUGUUGCAUCCCCUGAACUAUAUGUGAGACGAUCCUUGUUGAACUGCACCGAACACUGUCUCUAUGCUGUCCUCUUUAACUAUGAAACCAAGGAUUCUCAUUUGUAUAUUCUCCGCCGGAAACCCAACUGCAACCGUUGCUUGGUCCUUAUCCCUUCGCUUCCCGUUAUUCCCUGGGGUGUAAGCUUUGUCACCGUGGGAUCGAGGAUAUAUGUGUUUGGUGGGAAUGAUAAGAAGUAUAUUGAGGCAAGCAUCGACUGUAUAUCUCACACGGUGCAAACCCUCCCCAGCAUGCAUGUGCCAUGUAUUAUACAAUUGUUGGCAUCAUCGACGGGAGAAUCUACGUAAUAGGACAUUUGCAUACUUCCUCGAAGAAGAUGAUGAUGGUGUUCAAUACAGAAACACAAAUGUGGGAGCCUGAGAUUAUAAAGAUGGACACUGAGCUAAUUAGUAUUAACUGUUUUUAUUGGGUGGUGAUGGCUGAUAAGCUAUUCACGAGGGAUCUCUAUAACAGCUUUGCUUACGAGCCAACGAAGAGUAAAUGGAAAAUGGACGAUAUGCUGAAUUCUAAGGUGUGGAGGUCUGCGUGUGUAGUUGAUGACGUAUUGUACUACUACGAUGGGGACGAGAACAAGAUAAGAGCUUAUGAUCCAAAGCAAAAGUGUUGGAGUGUGGUGAAAGGUUUGGAAAAGUUGUUGCCUGAGACGAUAGAUCCAUGGUGGUCAGAGACUGUGAGUUACGGUGGGAAACUGACUUUGUUUUUUCGUAAAGUUGAAAUGCAAACAAGUGAGAUUUGGUGUGCAGAGAUUGCGCUGGAAAGGCGCCAAGGAGGGGAAAUUUGGGGUAAAGUUGAGUGGUGUGAUCACCUCUUGACUGGGAAUUUUCACUUGAGGAAGCCUCUAGCUGUUGUGGUUUGAUGCAGGAACUCUCCUCCAUAUAACUUGUGUUUUGUUUUUUCAUUUAUUCUAAAUCUCUUUCUGCUGAUUUCGUUUAUGUAAAUGAAAAUAGCUGAUCUGAGGAAAAAGAAAAUAGUUUAUUUUUAACCAAAGUAAUUAAGAAUGCUACAAAUUUGACGCUCGAUCUCUUGAUUUGGUUCUCAACUGUUCUAUCUUCGUUUUACGUUUGGAAUUGAUUAACAGAGUGAAUAAAGGAAAAUCGUUUGUAGUUUGUCGGAGGACAUUGCCGAUAACACAGGAAACCGAAUGUAAAACUUUCUUUCUUAAAUGAAAAAAGAACUACCCAAACCGCCACAACCACUGCACACAAUAGUUACAAGCUUUUGGAAACCUCUAGCAGAAGUUGAGAAUGUCUCCCGUCUUGCAGAAGCUGAGAAUAGAAGAAACCAACCUAACAAAUCUCUUCCUUUUUGCAGAAGCUGAGAAUUUCUUACGAGACUUAUGCAAUUUUAUUAAUGAUCAGCUUCUCUUUAGUAUUUCAGUCCUUCCAUUUGUGAAAAAGAAUAAUGAAAAAGAAGGAAAAUAAAAUACUAAGAGUUAAAGAUUACUUGUCUAGCAAGUAAGGAGACUAUGGACAAAAAUGAAUGAAAAAAAAAAAAAAAAUCCUCCUGAGGAGCGUGGAGAAAAGAUAAAGAAGUGAUAUUUGGAUGACUCUUAUAUACUCAUAUUUACAGGAGCUGCCUACAACAAUCACAAUAUAUAUAUAUAUAUAUAUAAAUAAGGUUAAGACUUACGUCUGAUUUAGUACGUGAUAUUUUCCUUAGAAAGGCAAAUUUGAUAACCGAGAUAACAUGGGGGUCAAAUUUGAUAACCGAGAAUGAUAUUUUCCUUUGAAAGGCAAACAAAACUAGAAGUGAGUAACGAAAACGAGCAAGUCCUUUGGGCUUAGGAAGCUUACUUUAGCUCGUCGAUAAUGUAGUUUAUGCGAGAUAGCUCCUCAAUAAUGUAGUUAAAGCUGAGGGAUGCGCAGUGAAAUCUUCAAAGCUAUGGGAAGCAGCCAGCCAUAAUGUGCACAACCAGGGAGAGGCAAGAAACCUCGUCUUUACUUACAGGAAAAAACUUGUUUAGAAAUAUCAUCAACUGAGCUUUCCAGCAAGCUUGUCCAGUCCCAAAUUGCAGAAGCGGCGGUGGAGACGGCUAAAGCUUCAGGCUGUUACUUCUUUAGGCAAUGGAAAUGCCCAAAAAAGCUUUUAUCUAGACAAAGUAUAACGGCAAAGAUUAUGAGAUAACACUGGGUGCAUGGCCGCAAUAGAUAUGAGCAUUAUAUUAGCCAGAGCUGGAUUAUAUGUUGCCCACAAAGCUAUAUAAACCAUAAUGUAUCGAACAGCUGUUUCCUUAUUCAGCAGAAGAAUUCGUUUUCCUGAUUUCGUUUCUCAGAUAUAUUACCAUUAAAGUAGGAGUAUGAAGAUACAAAAAACGAUUAAACUGAACCUUAUCAAAAACGAUUAGUGAAUAUAGCAGCAACAAAUUUUGGGAUCAUCAUGAAAUAGAGAACCAAACCGCUUAUUUGCAGACUGUAAUUUAGACCUAGGGUGGGAUCAUGUACAUUCCUUUUGGUUCAUAAAAUACAUAGCUACAAUUUAAUUAGUGAGCCAACCUCUUGUUCUCUCGCAAAUUUUCAUCCACUAUAUACAAGAACAUUUCUGUUUUAAAUUUUGGAGAAAUCUUCAAGAAAUCCUAAAUAUUUGUCACAUCAAACGCUCUCCGUAAUUUUGAGAUAUGCUUUCGAACUUGCCUGUUUUUCUUUUUCAUUAGUAAAAUAGAAAAAUUAAUUACAAAAAAUAAUUUUCCUAUAGAUAAAAGGAAAAAGGAACUCGAUUAGAAAAAGAAAAGGAAAAAGGUAGUCUAUAACAGAAGAAAAACAAAAACAAAAGGUCGCGUUCUCGUUAUCAUCUCUCAAGCUCAAAUUUUUUCACGUCGUCACCAAACCAAACUGCUUCUCUAAUCUUCUCUUAGACCGGUCGUGCCUUGGCAUCAUCCUGAAUAACUCUUGCAUGCAUUUUCUAGAUUCGGAGGAAUCUUAUAUAUCGGAAGUAGGGAUUCGCUCUCUGUCUGGGUGAUCGGAUAUUUGAGCCUACUAUUAGGGUUUUGCGCUUUCCUCGCCAAAAUCUACACAUGUCUUAUAAAAUUAGUGCAAAGAAGACGCCAUCUUCGUCCCUGAUUACGUCACUUCCCGAAGACAUUAUCAUUAACAUCUUUGCGCGUGUUCGAGAUGCAACUAUCCAACAGUCUCCCUCGUUUCAAAGCACUUUCGAUCACUCGUUGUAUCCCCUGAACUAUAUGCGAGACGAUCCUCCUUGUUAGGCUGCACCGAACACUAUCUAUAUGCUGUCCUCUUUAACAACGAAACCAAGUAUUGCCAUUUGUAUAUUCUCCGCCGGAAAACCAACAGCAAUCGUUGCUUGAUCCUUAUCUCUUCAGUUCCCGAUAUUCCUUGCGGUGUAAGCUUUGUCACGGUGGGAUCAAGGAUAUAUGUGUUUGGUGAGUUUAAUGUAAGCAUCGACUGCAGAUCUCACACGGCACAACCCCUCCCCAGAAUGCCUGCGCUCAUGUCUUAUACAAUCGCUGGCCUCAUCGACGGGAGAAUCUACGUAAUAGGACAUUUGGAUGCUUCCUCGAAGAAGAUGAUGAUUGUGUUCAAUACAGAAACACAAAUGUGGGAGCCUGAGAUUACAAAGAUAGACAUUGAGCUACGUUCCAUGUGGAGCAAGUGGUCGUAUGGUUGUGUGGUGAUGGCUGAUAAGCUAUACAUGAGGGAUGAUAAGAACAGCUUUAUUUACGACCCAAAGAAGAGUAAAUGGGAAAGGGACUAGAUGUUGAAUUCUAAGAAGUGGAAGUGUGCAUGUGUAGUUGAUCACGUAUUGUACUACCACGAUACGUACAAGCAGUGCCGUGCUAACACAUUUAGAGGCUUAAGACAAUUUAGAAAAUUGUGGCCCUUUAAAAGUGUAUAAUUUAUAGAACUUAAAAAUAAAUCAAACUGUAAAAACUAUAUUACUGAAAUGUAAAAUUAUAUAUAAAAUAAAUAUAUAAGACAAUUUAAUGAGUUUAUUAUUUAAAAAUAUGUUAAAGUAUCAAAUACUUAUUAAAACAUAUUAAAUGAUAGAAUAAUAGAAAAUAUGUAAAUAAAGAAAGUUAAAUUAAUUAGAUUAUAGUAAAAAAAUAACAGAUUAAUUAUGAUUUGAAAGUUAAAAUUACUAUUACAAAACACUCUAACAACAAAUCUUUCACUAACUUAACUAAUAUUAUUAUUGAUAUGUGGCCUAAAAACUGAAAUUAUAGAUGUGGCAUAAGGUCAAUGCCUUUUUAACAACUGGUGCAGUGAAACUCGAACGAACAACGCAAUGGGGAACCAUAAGAAUGCGGAUGACCAAAUCGACUUGCUCGACAAAGGUUUGGAAGAAUUACAAUCAGAAGUGAAGAUUCUCGCUAAUGGAUGUAAGUUGCUCUCGAAGUCUAAUACAGAGGUGAACGAUAGGUUGGGUGUCUUGGAAACUCAGCUGACUGAUUCUAGAAAGGAGGUUAACGACAAAUUCACAUCUCUGGAAACACAGAUGUCAUCAAUUUCCAAUGUUCUGGCUAAACUCGAAAGAAUUUCAUUCUCAGGGAAGCCUCACGGCAAGGAUGUUGCAGGCAUAUCGGAUAUCUAUUCUCAAAACCCUUCUUCUACAUCUGUGUUGAAUACUGAUUUAGCUCAGAAAGGUUCCAAUGGUAGUACUUUAGCAAUGGUUCAGCGCGAGGAUUUAUUACGAAAGAUUGACUUACCGGUCUUUGACGGAUCGAUGCCGUACGGGUGGAUUUGCAGAGUUGAGAGGUAUUUUCGUGUGGGUCAUUACAGUGAGGAGACAAAGUUAGAAUUGGUUUCUCUAAGUUUGGAAGGUCGAGUGUUGAACUGGUAUGAGGGAGAGAUGGUUGAUGCACCUUUCAGAGAUUGGUCACAGUUUAAACAACGGCUCUUGGAUCGUUUUGCAGUGUCUAUUGAUGAUGAACCAGGCAAACGUUUGUGUAAUCUCACUCAGACAGGAUCUAUACAAGAUUAUAUCAGUGAGUUUGAAGAAUUACAACGUCAAGUAACAGGAAUCGACGAGAAGAAUCUCGUUAAUCUUUUUUACAAAGGUCUUAAAAGGGAGAUGAAGGAGGUCAUCAAGUUGAAGGAACCGAAAACGUUAACCGAACACAAAGCUGCCGUAGUGAAGAUGGAGGAUAGUAUGUUAUGUCAAGUGUUGAGUGAUGCUAAGAAAUCUGAGGUUAGGAGUGCUCGUUCUUACACUUACACACCAUUUAAGUCUUUUGCGAUACAGCAGAAACAUCUGACUGGUACAGACAAUAGAGUUAUUGGAAAUUCUCAAGAAAAGAGAGGCGUCGACAAUGCUGGGAAAACUCUGUUACCAUCAUCAAGUCAAAAAAAUAUUCAAAGGCCAAGAUUGCACUUGUCCGACGCAGAGCUGAAGUACAGAAAGGACAAUGUAUUGUGUUUAAAUUGUGGAGGCCCAUGGUCUCGUGUUCACGUUUGCCCUAACAUGAUGCUACAGGUAAUCGUCUAGGCCCUCGAUUUUUUUUAACACUGUGAAAAUUUUUUAUUUUUGAAUACGUCAAGCAGCUGGAGAGAGUUGAUUAUCUAUUAUAUAUAAGAUAAGACUAAAUUUUGCGAGUAGCGUGGAUAUUUUGUUGAUAAAAAUUAUAUACAAUCAAUUAUUUUUAUGAUAUAAAUUUUAUAUAUUAGUGUUUUGAUAAUAUAGUAAAAAUAUUAUGAUGUUAAUAUAAUAAUUUUAAUGUAAAUUAUGAUGUUUUCACGAUUUUUUUUAAUCUAUAUAUGUCAUAUUUCAAAAAUGUGUUAUUUUAUCAAAUACUUAGAAGUUAAUAUAUUCAAACUGCCUAAAAAUUUUACAAAUUAAUCAAAUGCUACUUUUUAAACAUAAUAUUGACAUGAUGAUAAAAUAUUCUACAUUCACUUCUUUCAAUCAAGAAGAAAAAAAUUGUUUUUUCAUCAUUUUCACUUUUAUUUCAAUUAUAUAUGUGUUAUUUUCACUUUUAUUUUAAUCAGCUGACCAAACAGCAUCCGAAUACAUUCGGUAAGCCUUAAACAAAGAGGAGAGGUUAAAAUCACUUGCCGCAACGGGCCUCGUGUGAGAUUUUCCAGUUUUAAUUUCUAAAUCUAUUACUAAUAAAAGUUAAAACUAUGUCUCUAAAAAUGUCCAUAUAUGAUUUACAAGUUUAAUUCUAUUGGUCCACAUCAAUAUUUAAAAUUUAGGAAAUUUUUAAAUUUUAAAAUUAUAUUGUUAACAAACAAAUAUAUUUAAAGAAAAAUAAAAGUUGAAUAGGUUCAACUUUUUUUCGACAUCGCAUAUCCCACGUGCAAAAAAUUUGAAGGCAGACAACCUAACAAAAAGUGCUUGAGUCUACCAUCAUUAUAUUAUUUAUGUAAACUCAGUACCACCGGUUUUGCUUAUCUAACCGCUCUAGAUACUUAGGCUGAUGAAAAAAAAAAAGUUGAAAAUAUAUGUCUCUAAGGACAUCCAGAUAAGAUUUAAAAGGUCAAUUUUAUUAUUACACAUCAAUAACUAAAAUUAAAUUUUUUUCUAGCUUAUAAAAUUACAUUAUUAAUACAAAAUAAUAUAGGAAAAAUUGUUAAUUAAAAUUAUUCUAUUAUUAAUGAUAGCUAAAGCUAUAUUAUUUUCAAGGCAUCCACAUCAGUAUUUAAAAAUUCAUUUUUAUUCAUAUAUAUUAAAAUUAUAAAUUAAAAUGUUUUUAUAAUUCUAUUAUUAUGAUUAAAAAAACAUAUGAAUCAAAUAAAGAAAUCUCUAUUAACCAAAAAAAACAACAUGAUAUUAAAUCUCCAUUACCACUGUUUUAAUCACAAAUUUAAUUUAUUAUCUAUAAAAAAAGAUAUGCUACUUAUACAAGUUUAAGUUACUUGAUUUUAAAGCUUUUUAUGUAGAAUUUUAAAUAACUAAAAUUUAUGAUUUAUAUUCAUCUAAUUUUCUCAUAUAUGCAAAAUAUAUUAUCGAAAUAUGUAAUAUAUUAUGCGAAAAUAUGUAAUAUUUGUUUCUCACGUAAUAUAUUAUGCAAAAAUGAUCAAAAAUUCUACAUUUUAUAAAUUCAAUUUAGAAUUCAAUAUAUUAAUGUAUGAGUUCUUAGUUUUGAGUUGUUUGAUUUGUUUUAUUUUUAUAGAUUUGUAUAUAAUAAAUUGUACUGAUUUUGUCUACUUAAUUACAAUUAGAAGUGAGAAUGAAUAUGAUGAAAGUAAAUAUAAUCAUACAAAAAUUAUUAAAUUAAAUAAAUAUGAUAGAUUCAUUGAAAAAACCGAUAUAACAAGGAUAAAAAUAUAGAAGAUGAAAAAACAAUUUCAUUCUUAUUAGAAGAGAUGAUGUAUAAUCAUUGAAAAUUUAUUUAAAAAUUUACACUACUAAUUGACAAAAAUAUAUUUAUUCACAAAUUUUGUGUCAUUUUAUUCAUUUCAUAUUCAACUCUUGUUUUGGUAUAAAAUUUAAAGUUGUUAUUAAUCUCAAAGCAAAUAUUUUAUUUAUUAGUUUAUUUUUUAAAUUAAUAUAUCAAAAUAAAAAUUUAUUUGUUAAACAAGAGAAGAAAAAAAUUAAAUUUUAAAUUUUAUUUUUAAAAGAACAUAUAUAUAUAAUUAAAAUAAAAAUCAAAAUGAUGGAAAAAAUAUAUUCUUGAUUUAAAGAAGUGAAUGUAUAAUAUUUUAUUAUCAUGUUAAUACUAUGUGUAAAAGGUAACAUUUGAUUAAUUUGUAAAAAAUUUAAUUGAUUUUGGUAUAUUAAUUUAUAAGUGUUUGACCAAAACAAAACCGUUAAAAUAUCACAAUUUACAUAAAAAAAUAUUAGAUCAACACUAUAAUAUUUUAAUAUAUGAUUAAAACAUUAAUAUAUACAAUUUAUAUCUUAAUAAAUAUAAUUAAUUGCAUAUAAUUUUUAUUAACAAAAUACUCACGCGUAGCGUGGAUGCAAAAUCUAGUAUACUAAUAAAUUUUGAAGCUAAAUGCUUUCAAAAGUGUCCACAUAUGAUUUAAAAAGGUAAUUUUAUUGGUCCACAUCAACAAACAAAAUCAAGAAAGUUUACAAAUUCUAAUAUUGUUGUUGGAAUAAGAAAAUUAAGAAUAUUUACAAAUUCUAAUAUUAUUGUUCAAUAAAGAAGUUUUUUAUAAUUUUUUUAUUGGUAAUUCUAUUAUUGUAUUUAAAAAUUAUUAAACACUGUUUUCCAUUCAUCUCCUGGUCGAAUGUGAAUUUGGUGAUAGCCGCUUUUAAAGUCAAGCUUGGUAAAGCUGGUCGCUGCUCUGAUCUGGUCAAGAAGAUCAUCCAAACAUAGUAUUGGAAACCAAUAUCGAACAGUGAUUUUGUUAAUCGUGCGGCUGUCGACACACAAUCAUCAAGUGCCAUCCUUUUUAGGAAUGAGGAGAGCUAGAACUGCGCACGAACUAAGGCUCACGCGUAAAUACCCUUUGGACAAUAGAUCUUCCACCUGGCGUCUUAAUUCAUCGUGUUCCUGCGGAGACAUGCGAUAAUGUGGUCGAUUUGGAAGCGCAGCGUUCGGAGCCAAAUCAAUGCAAUGUUGAAUGUCUCGUAGAGGAGGAAGACCGGAAGGAAGCUCUUCAGGAAAAACGUCCUGAAACUCCCUAACAAGAUCUUGAAACUCUGUGGGAAUAGUACUCGACGUUGGAGGCGACGACAGUUUAAGAAUAAGAACAUCCCACCAGCAGAUUCAGCACAAUCUUCAAGAAACUGAGAUCGGUUAACAAAAAACACAGGCGGUGGCAGCUGCUUUGUAUCAGGAGAAGACACAAUGUGCUGAUCAGGUGUUUUAGGGACCAUCAUUUCCUGUGAGGAAAGAAGAGUAAUACGCUUUCCUUCGAAACUGAAAGUGUAGGUGUUAGUGAAACCAUCGUGAACCGUCCUCCUGUUAUACUGUCAUGGACGACCCAAGAGCAAGUGACCAGCGUCCAUGGGAACCACAUCGCAACAAAGCAGCUCCUUGUAACUAGAGCCAAUUGAAAAAGGAACACGGCAGCGUCUAGAAAUUCGGAUAUCUGCUUGCUAUUCAGCAAGGCAAGUCGAUACGGGGUGGGAUGAGGCUCGGUGAAAAGAACUAAUUUACCCACAGCUUCCUCCGAAAUUGCAUUUUUACAACUUAUCGAAUCCACAAUAAGACGGCACACUUUGCCCCGAAUUGUAUAGGUCGAUCGAAAAAUGUUACUUUGAAGCCACGACUCUUCGAUCUGUGGAGUGAGAAAACUCCUUCGAGUAACUAGCAAAUUGCCUGCAUCACCUGUAACACGUUCCUCAGUUUCUGUGUGUUGUUGAUCUUCCACCUCCGGAUCAAACACAAUUUCAUCAUCACCAAAAAGAACACGCUUAGGACACGCGGAUUGACGAUGUCCUGUUUCACCACAAUUAAAACAUGUAAAGGCGAUUGUAAGAGUCGCCUUUGGUAUUGAGAUGACACCACCGUUGUCUGGUGGAGCCGAUGUAAUUAUUUUCUCUGUCUUGGCAAUAGCACCUGCUUCACUAGGAGGAUUAGUGCGAAAACGUGAACUAGACGAAGCCUAAGAAAACCCUCGUAGACUCUGCUCGAUGAGCACCGCUCGCUGAUGUGCUUCAGAAACAGAUGCAGGAUUGAACUGAAGCAGUUGGUUCUGUAUCUGUAGCUUUAAGCCUCCAAUAAAGAGAGAAACAGAUUGUUCCUCUGUUUCCAUUAAGCUGUUUCGAGCCAAGAGAGAAAAAAAUUCUAACGUGUAAUCAUCCACACUCGUCGAUCCCUGACGCAGAUGGUGCAAGCAUAAUUGUACGGCAAGAAGUAGCGGCGCAUAGGUUUCUUCAUCUUCUCCCAAGACCCAAUGCAAGCUUUCCCUGAAUUAGCACGUUGAACCUUGAGCUGUUGCCACCACGCCGAAGCUCUUCCCUUGAAACAUGUCGCCACCAGUGAGACGCGCAUGUUGUGGGUACAGCCUUAAACGUCAAAAGCUUUUCCAUUGUAUUGAGCCAAUCCAGAAAAUCCUCCGCCUGUAAGCCUCCGGAAAAUUCAGGAAGAUCGAGUUGAAAACCCAACUCCCACCGGUGAUUAUCCCCAUGGAGAACAUCACCUACAGCUUGUUGCUGUUGUUGACGAGGUUGGUGUCUGACGCCAAACGGAUUCCCUUCAUCGCCUUCUGAAUCAUCAUCCAACACCGGAGCAUUCCGAGGAGGAUGUACUUCCUGCGGUGGAGAUUGGAGCACUGCACGUAAAGGCAGCUUCGAUCGACUCUUGGAGGGCUUGACGCAGCUCCUGUUGAAAGUCGACCAUCACCUCACGAANNNNNNNNNNNNNNNNNNNNNNNNNNNNNNNNNNNNNNNNNNNNNNNNNNNNNNNNNNNNNNNNNNNNNNNNNNNNNNNNNNNNNNNNNNNNNNNNNNNNNNNNNNNNNNNNNNNNNNNNNNNNNNNNNNNNNNNNNNNNNNNNNNNNNNNNNNNNNNNNNNNNNNNNNNNNNNNNNNNNNNNNNNNNNNNNNNNNNNNNNNNNNNNNNNNNNNNNNNNNNNNNNNNNNNNNNNNNNNNNNNNNNNNNNNNNNNNNNNNNNNNNNNNNNNNNNNNNNNNNNNNNNNNNNNNNNNNNNNNNNAUUCUUUUACGACGGCAUCUCAGAACGUUGCUGUCUCUGAUACCAACUGUUGCAGCAGCUAGAAGCAUAAAAGACAAGAAACAAGAGUUCUCAAGCUCUAAGUUUCUUAUCGAUAUCUCUUGUAGUAAAUCUGGAAGCAAAGCUCGGUUGACACAAGAGGUUGAGAAGAACUUCUCUUUCUUUAUAAAUAAAAAACCAAAGAACAAUAGAGCUCAAGCUAGAGUACUUAUACAUCGUGAAAUAAAACCCUAAAUCUACGACGGUUAAUUAAUCGACGAAAAGGAAAUACGUAAGUAAUUAAAAGCCCAACGACAAACUUAAAACUUAAAACUUUAGCCCAUAAUGCUAUAUCAGAUUAACAUCCAAAUUAUUGUCACAUAACUAUAAUAAAUUUAAAGUUUUUUUUUCAUGUGUGUACAAUUAUUUCAAAUAAAAUAAAAAAUAAAAAAUAGAGUUACAUUUCACUUGAGCAUUACAAUAUAAAAGAACCAAACAAAUAUCUAGAGUUACAUUUCACUUGAGCAUUACAUUUCACUUGAGCAUUACAAUAUAAAAGAACCAAACAAUCUUAGAAACAUGUCAACUGAUUGAUACUCGACACUUUUGAAAAACGAAGCACUAAAAAUAGAGAAAAAUGUUACAUUAUUAAGACGAAUGAGUUGAGGUAUCCGAGGUUGUGGACUUAUAACAACCCAACUUGAUCACAAAAGUAACAAUUAGCUGAUCAAGCAGCAUUCAAAUAGAUUCAGUAAGCCUCAAAAAAGGAAGAGAGACUAAAAUCACUGGCCUCGUGUGAGAUCUUUCAGCUUUAAUUCUAAAUCAAUUACUAAUAAUUCUAAAUCAAUUACUAAUAAAGUUAAAACCUACGUUGCACGGAAUCGCUCGGAAAGCUACGAUUCUCGCUUCGGAAUCGGAAUCGGAAUCGCACGGAAUCGAUCGGAAUCAUUGUGGAAUCGCGAUUCUGAAAUUUUAUCGUUUGAAAACGCUGAAGAAUCGUUCAAUUCCGAGUUGGAAUCGUGUUUUUCGUGGUUGGAAGCGUUGCUGCAAACUUCGACUAAAAUUAUAGAAGAAAAAGAUGAUCUGUCAUUACAAUUUUGUUAGGCUUAAUAUAUUUAAAGCCCAUUAAGCCAUCAUUAUCAUUUUUUAAUUUAUUUUUAAUAUUAUUUAAUUAAACUAAUUAUUUGUUUAAUAUAUUUCAAGCCCAUUAAACCUAUUAAGCCAUACGCUUCCAACACAUAUCCGCUUCCUAAAUUUUUUGAAAAAUUCGCUUCCAAACGCUUCCGCUUCCGCGAUUCUGCUUCCGAUUCCAUGCAGCUUAGGUUAAAACUAUAUGCCUCUAAGAAUGUUCACAUAUGAUUUAAAAGUCCAAUUCUAUUGGUCACAUCAAUACUUCAAAUUAAGAAAAAAUUUCAAAAUUUUAAAAUUAUAUAGUUAACAAAAAAAAUUUUAAAGAAAAUAAAAGUUGAAGCUAUAUGCCUUUAGGGAUUCACAUAAGAUUUAAAAGGUCAAUUUUAUUAGUGCACCUCAAUAACUAAAAUUAAAAAAAAAAUUAUAAAAUUAUAUUGUUAAUACAAAACAAUAUAAAAAAAUUGUUAAUUAAAAUUAUUCUAUUAUUAAUAACAGUUACAGCUAUAUUAUUUUCAAGGUAUCCACAUCAACAUUUAAAAAUUCAAUUUUAUUCGUAUAUAUAUCAAAAUUGUAAAUUAAAAAAAGUUUUCUAAUUAUAAUAUUAUGGUUAAAAAAAAAAUAACAAAAUAAAGAAAUCUCUAUUAACAACAAAAAAAAAUCAACAUGAUAUUAAAUCUCCAUUAUCACUGUUUAAGUUAUAAAUUUAAUUUAUUAUCUAUAAACAAAAAAAAAUAUAUGCUACUUAUACAAGUUUAAGUUUUUUGAUUUUAAAGCUUUUCACGUGAAAUUUUAAAUAAGUAAUAAAUAUGAUUUUUAUUCAUCUAGAUUUUUUUUCACAUAUGCAAAAUAUAUUUUUACAUACUCUCAUGUAAUAAAUUAUGCAAAAAUGAUAUAAAAACUUAGAUUUUGUAUAUUCAAUUUGGAAUUACAAUAGAUUAAUAUAGAAGUUUUUAGUUUUGAGUUGUUCAAUUUGUUAUUUUAUUUUUUAAAAUUUGUAUGUAUUAAAUUAUACCGGUUUUACCUAUAUAGUUAUAAUUAUAGGAUGUAAAAAUAAAUAUGAUGAAACUGAAUAUAAUCCUAAAAAAUUAUUAAAAUAAAUAAAUACGAUAUAUUCAUUAAAAACAGAUAUAACGAGAAUAAAAAUAAACAUGUUAAAAAAAUUCAUUCUUAUUAGAAAGGAUAACGUAUAAUUAUUGAAAAACUAUUUAAAAAUUUACAAAAUUAAUUGACAAAAAUACUCUCUCUCGUUUCUAAGCACUUCCGAUCACUCGUUGCGUCCCGUGAGCUAUACACAAGACGAUCGUUGUUGGGCUGCACCGAACACUGUCUCUAUGUUGUCCUCUUUAAGGGAAAAACCAAGGAGUACAAAUGGUAUAUUCUCCGCCGGAAAGCCAACGGCAAUCGCUGCUUCGUCCUUAUCCCUUGGCUUUCCGCUAUGCGUUACCGUGGAAGCUUUGUCCAAGUGGGUCCGAGGAUAUAUAUGUUUGGUGGGGAUCAGAAGAAUAUGGGGUUAAGCAUCGACUGCAGAUCUCACACGGUACAAACCCUCCCAGGCAUGCCUGUGCCCAUGUCUGAUACAAUCUUUGGCAUCAUUGAUAGGAGAAUCUACAUAAUUGGAUAUUGCCAUAAUGAUAGAUUGAGGAAGGUGAUGGUGGUGUUCAAUACAGAAACACAGAUGUGGGAGCCUGAGGUGAUAAAGUUAGACAAUGAGCUACGGAACACGUGGUUGUAUGGUUUUGCGGUGAUGGCUGAUAAGAUUUACAUGAGGGAUUAUCGUUACAGCAUUGUUUACGAGCCAAAGAAGAAUAAAUGGGAAACAGACGAGGUGCUGAAUUCUAAGGAGUGGAAGUAUGCGUGUGUAGGUGAUGACUUAUUGUACUACCACGAUCGGUACGAGAACGAGAUAAGAGCUUACGAUCCAAAGCAAAAGUGUUGGAGUGUGGUGAAAGGUUUGGAAGAAUCUUUGCCUGAUACGACAUAUUCAUGGUCUUCAUACACUGUGAGUUAUGGUGGGAAAAUAUUUUUGUUUUUCAAUAAAAUUAAAGAAAAAACAUAUGAGAUUUGGUGUGCCGAGAUUUCCCUGGAAAGACAUCAAGGAGGAGAGAUUUGAGGUAAAGUUGAGUGGUGUGAUCAAGUUUUGACUGAUGGGAAUUUUAGUUCUGCAAAUCCUCUAGCUGUAAUGAUUUGAUUUAAGGAACUCUCUUCUCCUUAAUAUAACUUGUGUUUUGUUUUUUCAUUAUCCUAAAAUCUCUUUUUGCUGAUUACGUUUUAUGUAAAUGAAAAUAGAUGAUUUAAUUUGAGGAAAAACUAGUUUGUUUAUUUUGAACGAAAAAGUAUACCAUCAACUCUACAGAAUUCUUGAUCUGGUUAUCUGUUUCAGUUUGUUUGAUCAUCGACUCUGCCUCUGUUUUUUUUAUCAACAAAAUACAGUUGGUUGGGGGAUAUUUAGUUAUAUGUAUUCAACCAAAUAAUACGUUUUUAAAAUAUGACAUAUUGUACAUAGAUUCAAAACAAAAUCAUAAAAAUUUCACAAUUUACAUAAAAAUUAUUAGAUUAAUAUCAUAAUAUUUUUAAUAUAUUAUUAAAAUAUUAAUGUAUAAAAUUUGCAUCUUAAUAAAUAUAAUUGAUUGCAUAUAAUUUUUAUCAACAAAAUACCUACGCGUAGCGUGGAUGCAAGAUCUAGUGCUAAUAAAAGUUGAAGUUAAAUGUUUUCAGAGUGUCCACAUUAGAUUUUAAAAGACAAUUUUAUUUGUCCAAAUCAAUUUUCAAAAUAAAAAAAUGCAAAUGUUAAUAUUAUUGCUGAAUCAGAAAAUUAAAAAAGUUUACAAAAUCUAAUGUUAUUGCUGAAUAAAAAAAUUAUGUAUAAAUUUUUAUUUGGUUCUACCUUAACACUGAAAAUUAGAGUUUUCAAAAACUAUUAUUUUUAAAAAUUUAUAAAAAUAAAGAAUUUAUAUAAAAAUAAAAAAUAAUAUUAUAAUAGGAAAAAUGAAAUUGAAAUUAGAUUUUUAAACUAAAUAAAUAAUUACAAAUAAAUUAUUAAAAUUUAUUUACAUAUGUAUACACACAUAUUUAGAGACUCCAACAUUAGCAUCCAAUUUUUAUCACAUAAUUAUCGUGUAUGGGAUUUUUGGUUUUCGAGAAAGGCCAAAACAAAAAAAUCGUCAGGGCCUAGAAAAUACGAUGGAGGUGUGUUCUCUGACGCUCAAGUCAAAAAACUGCUCAAAAAAGACCACUAAAAGCUGAUCGGAGAGCAGAAAGAAGUCAGAAAACUUUGUGAAGAAAAAUAGUCCGAGAGUUCUUGAGAAAGACAGGAUCUGCUCGGGUCUUGGAGUGAGAAUGUGAUUUUUACGAUGAAAAGAGAGAAAAAUAAGAGUUUGUGAGUAAAGGAGCUCCACGGUUUUGUGAAUCGCCGUAGAGGUGAAUCGAAAUGAAGUUACUGGAAAGGUGGUCAGAACUGUGUAGAAUGCUUGAACUUAAGAACCACAAGUAUUUAGAGAGAUAUUGUCUUAAGAUGGCCAAGAGAGUGAACCCCUUUCCCGUAGGAAAGGGAAAAUUAUUUGUAGUAAGUUACCUGAUCUGGGUUAGUAUACCGGGUUGGCCCAUGAAUGGUAGAUCAGAUGAGCCGGCCCACAAUCCAACUUGACUAUAUUCGAAUUUUGUGAAGGCGUCACGCUUCUGAUGGUCUCACCAACUUUCCUUGGCGUGUUUUUCUGUAACGAGAUCGUUCCUUGGCGCAUCCCUUUUGUUCUCAAUGUAUGAAUUGUAUCGGCAGCUCAAACGCGGUAUGGCUCUUCACUGAGCCUCUGCGUUUCCCCCUGGCUCCUGCGAAAGGUCACUGUCACCUGACAUACGUAAGAAAAAUGCAUUAAAUAUCAUUCUUGUGGGUUUGUAAGGGUAUGGGUAAUUCAAUCAGACUAAGGCAUAAUUAUUGUCGAAUGGAGGGAUAUAUGAAUAGUGUUCCCGUUUAAAUGAUUUACUAAUACCUGGCAUGGAUCCCUAGAUUCUGGGACCGGGAAGCCGUUGAUGGAAAGCCUUGUUCUCCAGGUACCCGUGUGGGCCACUCUUCCUUAUAUCCUGAGCCUUUUAGAUCACUAAGCUUAGGUUUAGGACAUAGGGAAUGUGACCUCUACUCCUCCUAACCACUCAGUUUCUGACUUCCUUGUAUCUGACAACGUGGUCUACGCUAUCAGACACGAGGAAUCCGAGAACAUGUGACUUAUCGUGUCAGAUCUCCCGAAUCCAACCGGAUUCGAGGCACGCUGGUAUAAGCUUAGGCCGUAUUAGGCUUUUUUCCUCCUUCACAUCGGGCUUCCACGGCCAUAUCCCCACGCUCUUAGGGUACUUUUGUAUCGUAGCCUCGAUUACUCCAAAUCAAAUGGAUGCCCCCAUCUGAGGCCUCUUGUAUUCCCUGCAGGUUUUAUUCGACCUGUUAGGGUUCCGGAUCACAGUGGUGAUGAUCACAUGCUACUUCCGGUUAGUGCAGAUUCCCGGUUACCCACUGAUGUACGAACUAUCUACGAGGCUUUUGAUGCGGUCCCCGGUAGGCUCCCUUGCCUGGCUUUGGAGGACGGACUCCUACGAAGACUCCUUCAUACUCGCUUUCUCAAAUAAUCUUCCCAGAUUCCCCGUCCAGUGGAACUUCCCAGGUAGCUUCCUCUUACUCUUCAAUAUUUUCUUAUUUUUUAUUUUUGUUUUUUUAUCUUGAUGUGGAGUUAAUUUUGCCAUUUUCCGUUGCUAGUUGUCAUGGGUGCGGGCCAUAGCUUUUUUCCUGCUUCCCUCCUACAACUACCUCGUUACCUGCAGGAUCCGGUCUUGCUACUCCAUCCUUUGGUGGUGGGGACGUCGUCCCUGGUGGUCCCUUUUGGUCAACCACGAGAAUGGGUCGGCCCACGAUCCGAUUUCACUGGAUUCAAAUCUUGUGAUGACAUCACGCUUUUGAUGGUCUUACUAACUUUUUGGCAUGUUAUGUCUGUAACGAGACCGUCUCUUGACACGUCCUUUUUGUUCUCAGUGUACGAGCUGGGUCGGCGGUGAAGACGCUGUAUGACUCUUCGCUGAGCCUCUGCUUUUCUCCUUGGCUCCUGUAAAUGGUCAUUGUCACCUGACACACAUUAAAUGUCAUUCUCAUGAGUUUGUAAGGGUAUGGGUAAUCAAAUCAGACUAAGACAUAUUCUUAUUGUCGAAUGGAGAGAAAUUUGAAUAGUGUUCCCGCUUAAAUGAUUUACUCAUACCUGGCCCGCAUCCCUCGAUACCGGGACCAGGCAGCCGUUGAUGGAAAGCCUAGCUUGUUUUUUGGGUACCUGUGCUGGCUACUCUUCCUUAUAUCCUGACCUUUCCGGCACCGAGCUUAGGUCUAGGAUAUAAGAAUGUGACAUCUCCUCCUCCUGACCACUCAAUUUUCAACUUCUUUAUAUGUGACAGCGGAGCCUACGCUAGAAAAGAAAAUACGAUUUGCAAAGCUAAUUUUGGCUAACAUAUGAGCCGAUGAAUUACAAGAUCGAAGUACAUGUAAGAAAACACAUUCUUCAAACUUAGUAGCCCACGAAAGGAUGUCUGCAUUAAUGUUUUCGAUGCUUGUAUCAGAAGUUAUUCGCCUUAGAAUGUCAAUCAAGACUUUGCAAUCACUUUUAAAUCCAACUCUUUUGAAACCCAUACUCCAGCAAUUCUGCAUCGUUAAUAGUAGAGCCUUUGCUUCCGCUUCAUGGGGAGAAGAUGCUCCAUCCAAAUUUGCAGAUCUCCAAUACUUUGGAAUACUAUAGUUAUCCUUGACUACCUACCUAGAAUUACACUUAUACUUUUAUAUUUUUUUUCUUUGAAAAAUAUUGUAUUCAUCUUCUAUAUUAUUAAUAUAAAUCCAAUUUUUUUAAUGCAUUUCUAUAUUCAAUCGAUUCAAAGACAAAUCUGGCUCAUUGUUAUGAAUCUCUUUUUUCUAAAACUAUAUACAAAUUUCUGAGUGUAAAAUUUAUUAACCACACUUAUUGCCUUAGAAAUUAAAGUUUUACAAAACCCAAAAAAACCCAAUUUAUCGAAAGUCCAAAAUAUUACAAACCAGAAAACUCAUAUAAUUGAACGAGAAAAUUGAAAUCAAACCAGAAAGUUGGUUGGAAAGAAUUGAUUGCAAAAGAACCAAUACUACCAGAUUAGUCGAGAGCCACAAUAAUUGUUGAUCUGACAGAACAAAUUAUUGGUAACCUGCGGAAUUGUGGAAUUGCGUUUUUAAAUGCGAUUCUGCAAAUAUUUUGCCUAUCAAGAAAAUUCUGCUGAAUAAAAAAUAAAACACUAAAAAGCAGUUUGCGUUUUUUGCUUAACAAAAAUACAAAAACAGAAGAAUGAGCUUUGGCUUUGAUUGGUAACUUUGCGGAAUGACGGAAUUGUGGAAAAAAUUUUGCGGAAUAGAUUAAGCGACUUAUAAGUUGCUUUUCUGCGGAAUGACUUUUCCUUUGUAUUUUUGUUAAAGCAAAAACGCAGUCUGCGUUUUUGUGUGUAUUUUUUUAUUACGCGGACUUUUGUUGAUUGGCAAAAAAUCUGCGGAAUUAUGUUAAAAACGCAAUUCCGCCAUUUUGCAGGUUACCAAUCAAAGCCUUUAAGUAACUUAUUUCAUUCCGCAGGUUUUUCCUCAUUCCACAAUUAUGGAUUCCGCAAAACUGUUACCAAUCAAAGCCAUAGUCGCGAUGAUGAAGAGAGCCGCUUAAGGUUAGUGGUGAUAGUGGUAAAUCACCCAUCUAGAAAACCAGAAGAUCUGAGGCAAGCAACGAAUUGGUUUCUCUGAGACCCAAAAUCUCUCUCUCUCUCCUUCUUCCGCAAAUCUUUGGAUAAAGAGGUACAAUGUCUCUCCGUUUCUCUUAUUUCAUUUGAACUUCUUCGAUCCUUCCAUGGUUACAAUUUUGCUGAUUUAGGAAUGGAUCUAUGCCUUAGAUACGUUUUCAGUAAUUCAUAGUCUUAAACGAAUCACGUCAAUAGAUAUCUGCUCGAAUUCAUAUUAUAUAUCAUGGAGAAAGUUAAAUCAAACCAUGGAAAAAAUUGAUUGUAAACCAACUAAUACUACCAGAUUAUCGAGAGCCAAUGAUUGUUGAUCCGAGCAGAACAAAGUCACGAUGAUGAAGAGAGCCGCUUAAGGUUAGUGGUAAAUCACCCAUCUCGAAAACCAGAAGAUCUGAGGCAAGCAACGAAUUGGUUUCUCUGAUAAAGAGGUACAAUGUCUCUCCGUUUCUCUUAUUCAUUUGAUCUUCUUGGACACCAUAUCGAUCCUUCCUCGGUCAGAAUUUUGCUGAUUUAGGAAUGGAUCUAUGCCUUAGAUACGUUUUCAGUAAUUCAUAGUCUUAAACGAAUCACGUCAAUAGAUAUCCGCUCGAAUUCAUAUUAUAUAUAUUUCUUCCCACGACUUUCUGGCAAUAUGUGACAGUGAACUUCAAGUGUAUCUUUGGGUUUGAAUGAAGGCGGCUUGUGUUCUUUUGGCAUUUUGCUUUUUUUUUGUCUUUGGAGGAGGAGCUUCUAAAUUGGCUUCCCCUAAGAAUCCAGAGGAGGUAGUCCGAUUCCCAUUGAACAGGAAACCUAGGAUUUUACUCCAGUUGGCCCCUCAUGUUUCUCACAAGAUUAAGCUAACUGUGACCGGAGGCACGUAUAUGAAUCAUCCUUUUUUGUUCCUUUGUUUGAUAAAAAUUACCACGAUUAGGAUAUGAGAUGUUAAUCAACUGAUGUUCCAUAUAGGUUGUGCAAACGCAUCCGGUGACUACAAGUGGCUUAGCUCAGACGUGACGGUUGUGGCUAUGUCAUCCUAUGGGGUUAUCCAGGCAAAGAGCCCUGGAAUAUCCACUGUCAAGGCUGUGUCGACUUGUGAUCCUCUGAAUUUUGAUGAGGUGAUUGAUCAUCAUCCUUUUGCAUCAUUAUGAAUUGUCAAUUACCGUUUAUAUAUUUUUUGUUUGAUAAUAAAUUACCAUUACCAUUUAUAUUUCUUGUUACAUUAUGUGUAGAUUGUUGUAAAAGUUUUCGCAAGUCAGGAUCUCUGCUAUGACAUGGAUGGUAUGGAACCCAUGGUGGACAAUGACCAACCGGAGGCAAGCUAUUUCUCCAUGCCAAAAUUUCAAACGGAGCAAUGCUUUAACUUGAUCAUGCUAUUAGAAUCUCUCGCUACUUUUACCAUUAUUAUAUUAUACAAUCGUUGUUUGAAAAAGCGUAAAAAUCAGCACUCUAAAAAGCGGUACAGGCGACCGCUUAGGCGACGUUUAGGCGCUAGGUGGCCAUAGAUUUGAUUAUUAAUUUGUAGACAUUCGAAUGAGGCGUGUUAUACUGUCCUAUGAAGUCGCUAAUUGACUAUUAUCUAAUUUUCAUUUUUGCUUGUUUAAUUAUAAUUUAAAAAUAUUUAACUCAAUAAUUUAGAAGUUUUUAUUAAAUUAUUACAUUAGAUUAUCUGCGCGUCCAUACACGAUAAUAUUUUAUCAACUUAAUAUAUUAAAAUAAAUUUUAUAAUAGAACUUAAAAAAACUAUAAACCCUGUUUAUUUUGAUCGAACAUAAAUUUUUCAAAUUUUUUUUAUCCAUGUUAGAUGCGAGCGACAACUUUUAUUUAUUGCCCUCUUAUAUACUAGGUUUUUCACCCACACUUAUAAAAUUAUUUUGCUAAAGAAUUAAAUGCAACCAAUUAUAUUUAAUUUGUGAGAUUUUAUUAAAACAGAGAAAAGAAAGCGGGCUGAGACUCUUGAAAUAUUGGGUAAAAUUUACUCGGACAUGUUUUUGGUGAGUUUGUUAGGUAGAAAAGAGAAAAAAUGUAAAAGUUUAGGGUAUAAAUGUUUCAUGGUUUAGAAACUGCCAUGGAAUGGUGAAUCAUAAUCGUAUGUUGACCACUUUUAUGGAUUAUUUUUGAAUGUUUUUUAAAUACUUUUUAUUUUUUGUAAGUAUUUUUAUUAUAGUUUUCUAGUAUUUAUAGUAUAAGUCUCUUUUCAGGAAAUUUAAACAAAAGCUUUGCAAAUUGGAUAAAAGACCAUAUUUUUUGCUCAGAGUCAAACUGUCGGAUUUUUACCCUCAAAUGAAAACCUUCUGACCGUCUGAUACAGCUCUAAUUUGGAUAUCUUAUAGAUGGAUUAGCUAGCUUUCCAGCAUAGCUAACAUGAGAACAAUCCAACAGUUCAAUCAAAAGUUAUGUGAAUAUCAGAAAGUCCCAUCAAGCAGUCGGCAAGCCUUCUAGACUCCCACCAACACAUGUUCCCCCAUGGUCGCAGACCUCUUGACCGCAGAGAAUGGGUGUCCAACCCCAAAAGCCCAAUUUCAAGUUCAAUUGAUUUUUGUCUUGCGAGAAGUCUUAAGUGACGACAAACGUCUUGAAGACUUAUAAAUACUUGUGUUAAGAAUCUUUAGGUUAGGUUUUAGUUUAGUUGUGUUGAGAUUUUGAACGAUUUUAAUGUAUAAUCACCAUAUGAUUAAAAGGCUAAACCAUUAGUUGAGCUUGGUUCUAAAGAAAAAAACAACAAACAACCAACAAUCUUUUAAACAUGUAUAAUUUAAUAAAAUACUUAGAAAACUAAUCGGACAGUUAUAAUAAAUUCGAUACAGUAAACAAUAAUUAGAAUACUAUCAUAUUUCAAAAAUUAUUUAGUUAUAUAUUUCAAUAUUUAUAUCAUUAGUCUUUUGUAACUAAGUAUACAUCUCGUUUAAAAACACAUUAGAGCUAACAAUUAAAAGUUAAUUCUAAUCAUGCGUAUAGGGCGGGUCAAAAUCUAAUAUUACCAUUAAAGUAGGAGUAUGAAGAUACAAAAAACGAUUAAACUGAACCCUAUCAAAAGCCUUAGUGAAUAUAGCAGCAACAAAUUUUGGGAUCAUCAUGAAAUAAAGAACCAAACGGCUUAUUUGCAGACUGUAAUUAUAGACCUAGGGGGAGAUCAUGUACAUUCCUUUUGAUUCGUAAGAAAAAAUAGCUACAAAUUUAAUUAGUGAGCCAACCUCUUGUUCUCUCGCAAAUUUUCAUUCACUAUAUACAAGAACAUUUCUGUUUUAAAUUUUGGAUAAAUCUUCAAGAAAUCCUAAAUAUUUGUCACAACGCUCUCCGUAAUUUGAGAUAUGCUUCCUGAACUUGCCUGUUUUUUUUUUUUUUCAUUAGUAAAAUAGAAUAAUUAAUUACAAAAUAUAAUUCUCCUAUAGAUAAAAGGAAAAGGAACUCGAUUAGAAAAAGAAAAGGAAAAAGGUAGUCUAUAUAUAACAGAAGAAAAACAAAAACAAAAGGUCGCGUUCUCGUUAUCAUCUCUCGAGCUCGAAUUUUUUCUCGUCGUCACCAACCCAAACUACUUCUCUAAUCUUCUCUUAGACCGGUCGGGCCUUGGCAUCAUCCUGAAUAACUUCUGCAUGCAUGUUCUAGAUUCGGAGGAAUUUUAUCGGAAGUAGGGAUGCGCUCUCUGUCUCGGUGAUCGGAUAUUUGAGCCUACUAUUAGGGUUUUGCACUUUCCUCGCCAAAUUCUACACAUGUUUUAUAAAAUUAGUACAAAGAAGACGCCAUUGUCGUCCCUGAUUAUGUCACUUCCGGAAGAUGUUAUCAUUGAUAUCUUAGCGCGUGUACCGAGAUGUGACUAUCCAAAACUCUCCCUCGUUUCAAAGCACUUCCGAUCACUCGUUGUAUCCCCUGAACUAUAUGCGAGACGAUCCUUGUUAGGCUGCACCGAACACUGUCUCUAUGCUGUAAUCUUUAACAACGAAACCAAGGAUUUCCAUUUGUAUAUCCUCCGCCCGAAAAACAACGGCAAUCGUUGCUUGGUCCUUAUCCCUUCGCUUCCCACUAUGUGUUAUGGUGUAAGUUUUGUCGCUGUGGGUCCGAGGAUAUAUAUGUUUGGUGGGGACCAGAAGAAUAUGGCGUCAAGCAUCGACUGCAGAUCUCACAUGGUGCAAACCCUCCCAAGCAUGCCUGUGCCCAUGUCUUUUACGAUCGCUGGCAGCAUCGACGGGAGAAUCUACGUAAUUGGAUAUCGCGAUUACAAUAGAUGGAAUAAUGUGAUGGUGGUAUUUAAUACAAAAACACAAAUGUGGGAGCCUGAGAUUAUAAAGAUAGACAUUGAGCUACGUUCCAUGUGGAGCAAGUGGUCGUAUGGUUGUGUGGUGAUGGCUGAUAAGCUAUACAUGAGGGAUGAUAAGAACAGCUUUAUUUACGACCCAAAGAAGAGUAAAUGGGAAAGGGACGAGAGGUUGAAUUCUAAGAAGUGGAAGUGUGCAUGUGUAGUUGAUGACGUAUUGUACUACCACGAUACGUACAAGAACGAGGUAAGAGCUUAUGAUCCAAAGCAAAAACGUUGGAGUGUGGUGAAAGGUUUGGAAGAGUUGUUGUCUGAGACGACAAAUUCGUGGUACUCGGAUAUUAUGUGUUGCGGUGGGAAACUGGCUUUGUUUUUUCCUAAAAUAAUUAUCAAAACUAAACAAAAUGAGGUUUGGUGUGCGGAGAUUUCGCUUAAAAAACACCGAGGAGAGAUUUGGGGUAGAGUUGAGUGGUAUGAUAAUGUUUUGACUGGGAAUUGUUGCGUAACGAAACCUUUAACUGUUAUGGUCUGAUGCAUGAACUCUCCUUCAUAUAACUUGUGCUUUUUCUUUAUAUAAGGUUGUCUUUUUUUUAUAUUCGUUUUUUACAUCAUUGAUACAAUUGAUACAGAGAGAGAAUAAGAGGAUCAUUGUUUUGUGGUUAUUCUGAGGAAACACUUAUGUAUGGGAAAAUGGAAAACUCGGGAUAUGAUCAAACAUGUUCAGAUGGUGAAGCGUGGUAUUAAACCAUGCCAGGAAUUGAACAUAUUUUUAAAAAACCACUUUAAAGAAAUAGAAGGAGAGAUGAUCAAAUAGAAUUGGGUCUCUAUCCCCAAGUGAAAAUCAUUUCAUCAGCCAGAAGCAUCCGAAGAAAAACGGUCUUCAAAAGGCAGAUGCAGAUAAAAGAGACACAAAAACAAACACACAUUUGCUCUCACAAAGAGUUUCAGCUUCUUCUUCUUCUCUGUUUUUUUUUUCUUUUAUUAUUGUUUGAUAAAUUCUCACCUGAAAUAGAUUGAGACGAGAGGAAUAUCAACGUCAUUGUCAUCUUCAUCCUCACAAGCCACCACCAC
rnacentral:lncRNA from 1 species